AAUCAAUUCCAUAACCAAUUAAAAACUAUAACUUUAAAUCAUUCACAUAAACCAUAUCCAAUAAUUAAAACCAUACUUCAAUUCCACAUUACAUAGCCCAAGUCCAAAUGAUUGUUUCAAGUAGGACGAAAGUGAAUUACAACAAGAUUUUAUUUAUAAACAAAGCAAUCCGACAAGCAGUACACACGAACACCACUAGCCAUGCCAAACUUCAAACUGUAGAACAACCAAACAACAGCAUAAUGGUAAAAUGAACCAAAGUUGCUAGCGGUAACAAUCCCAGCUGCAAGCAAGGCUGCAACACCAAGCUAGAUGAAAAUAAUGACAUCACGGCAAUGCCAAAUUGUAGCCAAGUGCAACCUGCAACAAAUAAGAUCCUACAUAAGUGAAUCGAUCCGAUCAACCACAAUAGCCAAUGCAACUCGAUGAUAAAAAACAUUUUCAAAUUAAAUCAAAGUUUCAACCAAGUUCUCACAUGAUUCCCCAAGCUCCAACACCGUGAACAAAGCUGCGACCAAAACUGCAAUGCCGUGUACACACCAAGUGCAACCUGCAACAAAUAAGAUCCUACAUAAGUGAAUCGAUUCGAUCAACCACAAUAGCCAAUGCAACUCGAUGAUAAAAAACAUUUUCAAAUUAAAUCAAAGUUUCAACCAAGUUCUCACAUGAUUCCCCAAGCUCCAACACCGUGAACAAAGCUGCAACCAAAACUGCAAUGCCGUGUACACACCAACGCACCAACUGUGACCGAAGCAACACAGAAACAUGCACUAUCACAACAGAAACAUGGAUCAUCAGCAGAUCAUGGCAUUUAAACCAAUGCAUAAUCAUCUUCAAUAUCAUAUCUGCUGCAUAUCAAAAGAAGAAAUAAAGCAAAACCUGCAGUGAAGCCCACAAACCUAACCUAUGCAGUCCUUGGGAGACCCAAAUCAAAAGCUCUAUAAUGCAAUGAGGCAUCUCAAAAUUAGUGGUAUAUGUGAUACUAAUUCAGCAACCAUAGCAGCAUGUGUUCUACAGAACUCAAAGCAAGCAAUCACCCAAACCAACAAUACAAGACAAACAUAUCCAUAAUGGAUUGGUAAUGUGAAACAAAGUAGUGUAAUUGCAAAAUGCUGCAAACAAAAAAGCAAGUCCUGCAAUACUAAACCUGAGCCAAAACACAAGCCACACACGUUAGAGCAAUUUCAAACCAUAUCACAUAAACAAUCCAUAAGAAUACUCAUAUACGAAGAAGUCGAAUUUACAAGAUGAUGUCAUACCAAAUGGAGGGGACCACCCGAGUUUCAAACAGAUCAAAAUACGUAACUACAGACAAAGCACGAAAUGACUCAAAAUAAUUUCAAGGAUUCAUAUUUUGGUCCCCCCCAAAUCUGAGAGAAAUCAAAUUCUAAUAGAAUGAUUCCUUUCACCUCCUACCAACUCACAAUAAAAGAUGCCACAUACCUGGCUCUACAAAAAGGGACGUAUGCCAAUCAUUGUGGGGAGGACGCUAUCGUUACCCUGUAGAAAUUCAUCCGCAAAUCACACUAAAGCCUGAAAAUACUAAAGGUAGUUCAGAGUUCAUCAUCAAAACUCUGAAUGAACGGAGCUAGGCCCUGAAAAAAUCAACUAAGCACAAAAGCGAGUAGAAGGAAUGAGCCAGCUAACGAGAAGAAUGAGAGACAAGGGGAAAGCAUUUACCUUUGAAUUUGUCUUUCUGGUAAACCUCCAGACGAUUUUUUUUCCUUUUUAACUUAGUAUGUGCAUACGAGCAGGACAAGUUCAUGUUGAAAGCUGAUUUCGCUUUAUGUAUAUCCAAAUCGCGUUUUGUCUCUUGUUCAUCAUGAAAAUUCGUUGUUGCGUGAGAAAACUUGUUUGUGUGUUAGGGUCUAAUGUGAUUUCCUUGCUUGCUAAAAAUGGGUUUUGUUUAGUUUAAGGUAACAAAGCUUUAAGAUUAAUGGUUCGAUUUGAACGUUUGGUAAACAUUUAGAAGAAAAUAAGCUAGAAUUUGUGUUUAAGACGCAGAUUAGGGUAGGGUUGUUGUUUUCCCCUUAGCGUUUAGAGAUAGUGACCCAUUGGAGAGGACAGCGGCGCCAUCGCUCCUCUCUGGAGAAACCAAUGGAAGAAGAUGAUCAGAGUGGGUAGAAAAAGAAGAGUGAGUUUGGGUUGUAAGAGAGAAGAGAGUGAUAGGUUUUUCGUUGUCUUGCUGGUGAAAUUCCUUUUAAAGACUCAUUAUUUCUCAAAUUCCAUGUCUAAAAAAAUAUUUAAGGAACGAUGCAACGUGUGGAAAUUCGGUUCCUUGCUGACCGUUUUUCUUCAUUACUUUGUCUUAUUAAGAAAGGGCAUUUAAUUCUCAAUAAUUAUGAUUCAAUGUGCUGUCAGCUACUGGUCUUUCCAAUGGACUUUUUGGAUUCCCCAUUCAAUACCAUUGUUUGUAUGCCACUAAUAAUUUAUUGAAAGAGAGAAGGUGUGGCCGACUACCUCCUUCCCUUCCGUCUUUUUUAGGUUUUUUCGCUACCUGGGUUGGACUUGGGCCUUCGACCCAACCCGGUGGACAGAGGUAGCACCAUUGGGCUUCAUGAGCCCUUGUGGUUUGCUACUCUUGGGAAAACCCCCAUUUUAUUGCAUACCCUAUUUUAUUUUACUUUUUUUAUAUUGUAUUCGUCUAUUUUCUAUUUUAAUGUUUAUUUAAUUUUUUGGAUAAGAUGAUAAUAUUAAUAUUAGUAAAUAACGAUACAUUAUUUUAAAUGGACAAGUUGUUAUAAUUGCAUUCUUUUAUCCUUAUUUUAUUUUAGUUGUUAUACUUACAUUCUUUAGGAUAUUAGAAUUAAAAAAUUAGUUAAUUGUUGUUAUUAAUAAAUGGACAAGUCAUUAUACUUUAUUGUAAAAAUAGUUAAACCUUGGUCCAACACCAAAUAAUCUUUUUCAAAUCUGAUUAACUCUUUGAAAUCAAAUUCAAAAUCUUUUUUCGAUACGACUUCUAAGAACAUUUUUAUAACUUAAACUAUGGAUGAAAAGGAGUAUACUAAGCGUCUGCUUCACUAUCUCUCGAGUAUUCCAACAAUUGGCGUUCGCCAUAUUGCUCGAAUUCUCGUCGUCUAAUUAAAACCCUAAAACAUACAAAUUCUAACCAUUUUCUGAAUCAAAUAUAACUUCUAAAGAAUAUUCUUUCAUAACUUAAACUUCAGAUGAAAAAGAGUAUAAGAGGCGUUCGCUUUGCUAUCUCUCGAGUAUUCAAAUGAUUGGCAUUCGCCAUAUUACUCGAAUUCUUGUCGCUCGAUUAAAACCUUACCAAAUUCGAAUUCAAAUCAUUUAUUCCAAAUUAAUAUAAUUUCUAAGAAUUUUAUUUUAGUUAAACUUUGGAUGAAAAAGAAUGGGAGGCGUUCGCCUCACCAUCUCUCGAAUAAUUGAAUGAUUGGCGCUCGCCAUAUUUCUCAAGUUACCGUCUUCCAAUUAAAACACACUAAAUGAACUUAGAUAAAGGAAUGGGUGGUGCACGCCUCAUUGUUCCUUGAAUAAGCAAGCGGGAGGCGCACGCCUCACUAUAAUGCAUAUUCAAUUUCUGCAAACACUUUUCAAUAAUAAUGUGAACGAAAAAGGAAAUAAAAGGCGUUCGCCUUGUUAUUCCUCGAAGAAUUGAACGAUUGGUGUGCACCACAUUACUCAGUCUUUUGUCGUUCUUCUUCAAAAUACCAAAUAUAUUAAGCCUAAUUUCUCUCCCCCGUGCGACCAACAACUUAAAUCUUUUUAGAAAGAAUACUAUUUAAUCCUUUCUAACGCGCACAACAAACUAGUGCUUAAGCCUCCGCUGAGAGUAGACAAGCCAACGUUUAGCCUUUAGGAUGCGAUCUAAACAGUCAUUCAUAAAAGACGCCAACAAACCGUAGUUCCCCGAACUACGAAUGAUCUGAUUUUCUUAUUGUACUAUAAGGAUAUGUAGGCACGAGAUUGCGAGAUCUUGGCGAGCACACUAAUAAAAAACCUCCCUUUCCCCCCUUCUGAGGUUUCCAUCCAUCUCUAUUUUUAAUCCUUUAUUUAGUCUAAGAAAAAAAACAACAUUCAUAUAAUAUUCAAAUCUCAAAUUAGAACUAAAAGGUUCCCGUUGAGUACAACGGACGUGAGGGGUGCUAAUACCUUCCCUUUGCGUAAUCAACUCCCGAACCCGAAUACGGUUGCGACGACCAUUAUUCUAUUUUCAAAGGUUUUAUCGAUAUUUUCCUAUUCCUUCAUUGGAAUAAAUAAAGUUUGAUGGCGACUCUGUUCGAACUAAUUUUUUCCGCGACCAUCACGAGGAAUUGUAUUUUUCGAGAUGCGAUAGUUGGCGACUCUGCUGGGGAGUCUGCUCCUAGCAAGAGAGAGUCAAACCUAUUUUAGUUCCAUUUUCUAUGAAUGUUAAAAUUCUAUUCUUUUCUUCCACGUUCCUCCUCUGUAUCUUAUUAUGUUACUUAUGCUAUAUGUGAUUUAUUUUGAUACUGUGAUGGGUGGUCUAUGGGGCUUGAUGAAUGCUGCGAGAUAGGCUUCGUACCCAAGCUUUCAGAAGAACUUAGAACCCGAAGUUGUGUAGUAUUGAACCGAGGGGUAUACACCUCGUUGGAACAAUACGAAGAUUCCACCUAGAGUAGAUCUAUUUAAAAUUUCCCUCACAAUAUGGCUAGCCCAUUAUGGUGGGGAAAUUUUAAAUAUGAUCCGUAACUCUAGGAACCUCACCUUAAACCCAAGGUCUGUUUUCACAGUUGGCGAUUGUGUAGUAUUGAACUGAAGGGUCUACACCCUGUUCGAACAAUACGAAGAUCCCACUUAGAUUAGAUCGAUUCAAAACAUUCAUCAUGAUGUGUGUAACACCCCGAUAAAAAAAUAAGAUAAUUAUUUAAUUUAAGUUAAUAUUAUAUUUAUUAAUUUAAUUAAAUAAUUGGAAUUAUUGGAUUAUUAUUAUUAUUAUUGGAAUAAAAGUUGGAAUUAGACCUAAUCAGAUCACACAUAUUCAGCAACGACAUAUCAACUCAUAAUCAUCAUCUCACAUACUCAAACUCAACACAACCAUAAAACAUACGUAUAUAUUGGAAUACAUCCAUUCAUAUUAUACGCCAUACAUACAUGCAUACAUUAUGCAAUGAGACUCCAUGCAUGCGGUACGGACUAUUCGUGAACAUAUAGUUCAACCUCACCGAUCAAAUCCAGAUACGGCUACCAAGCUCACUAGUCCCACUCAUUUGAGACCUAGUGACUCACUCACUAAUCCUCACCAUGGGAAUUAGCUACCACCCCAAGGGCUAUGAUAUGCACGCUAAUCACCUAGCAUGCAAACAUCAACAAUCAUCCACAAUGAUUCACUCACUAAUUCCUCACCAUGGGAAUUAGCUACCACCAUAAAGGCCACAAUAUGCAAGCUAAAUCACUUAGUCAUGCAAACUCGACAAUCAUCCACAAUGGACAUAUGCUCACACUCUAAGCCAUAAACAGUCCAUUCAUAAUUUCAUACAUGAUAGAUACAUUCACCACAUUAUGCAUAUCAUCAUACAUCAUCACAUAUUCACCACAUAAUCAUAUCAUGUCAUACCACAUAAUCAAUCACAGCAUUAGCACACUCUACUAUACCUAUACUACUCAAACCAACGGGAAAUGAUCCCUACUCUAUCAUACAUCAACUAAAUUACAUUACUCAGCUGAACAACCAAAUGCACAACAACAGCACAGAAAAAUCACAAUCCUGCCCAUACGCGUAUUGCCUAGUCCCAUACGCGUAUGGCCCAAUUCUCAGCCAAUCCCAUACGCGUACCACCUAUCUCAUACGCGUAUGCUACGCGUACCACUUCCCCAUACGGUACCAACAGAGACCAAACCACGUUCAAAACAUCAUCUUCUCAUCCAUACGCGUAAUGCCUAGUGCCAUACGCGUACCAGACCAUCUCAUACGCGUAUUGCCUAGUGCCAUACGCGUAUGACCAGAAACCAGAUUUCCAGAUCUGCUAUGGUUUUCUCUGCUACGAGAUCUCCCAAUUCCAACCUCUUACAAUUCAAUUUUACACAGUAAUCGUUCAUAUCAUCUAACACGAAUUAUCCCCUAUUCGAUUUCACAAAUUCUAACAUUUUUACAUCUAAUUCCUACGAAUUCCCUUCAAUUAUAAUCAAAUUUCGUUCAUCCAAAAGUUCACAAUUUCAUCAUGCAUCAUUCUAAUCAGAGUCAAAUCAAUGGUUUAUCACUACCCAUUACAUGUUAUCCCAUAUACCAUUAAUCGACGAUAAACCCCCCUUACUGAGUUAAUCCGACAAUCCUUCAGCUUCAAGCUCUUCCUCUCUUCAACCUUGUUCUCUGGCUCUUUUUCCACUUUUCUGUCUCUUUUCCUUUUCACGUGAAAAUAACCCUUUUACCAAAUGGGACCUUUUCUAAUUCCAACUUUUAUUCCAAUAAUAAUAAUAAUAAUCCAAUAAUUCCAAUUAUUUAAUUAAAUUAAUAAAUAUAAUAUUAACUUAAAUUAAAUAAUUAUCUUAUUUUUUUAUCGGGUGUUACAACUCUCCCCCACUAAAAGAGUUUUCGUCCUCGAAAACAUACCUCAGGCGAAUAACUCCGGAUAAGACUCCUUCAUCUGACUCUCAAGUUCCCAAGUUACAUUGCCACCUGCUGGUCCUCCCAAGCUACCUUUACCAAAGCAAUCUCUUUACCCCGCAACUGCUUCAACUCUCGAUCCUCGAUCCUCAAGGUGAUGUUUCAACAGUCAGGUUAUCUCUCACCUGUACAUCAUCUACUUGGACCACAUGCGACGGAUCAGGAAUGUACCUCCUCAACUGAGACACAUGAAAAAUCAUGCAAAUUCGCGUGACGGCGGUAACGGCGUAUCGAUAGGCUACCCUCCUAUCCUCUCCAAAUCUGAUAAGGACCAAUAAAUCGAGGUGUCAACUUCUUCGACUUCAAAGCUCGACCAACCCCAGUUAUCGGAGUAACACGAAGAACACAUGGUCCCCCUCUUGAAACUCAAGUGACUUCCUUCUGUUUGUCGUGAUAACUCUUCUGACGACUCUGGCAAUCCUCAUCUUCUCCUGAAUCAUCUUAAUCCUUCCGUAGUUUGUUGAACAAUCUCCGGUCAAUCACAGCACUCUCACGGACUCAUACCAACAUAAAGGUGUCCGACAUCUCCUACCAUACAAAGCUUCAACGGUGCCAUACAAUGCUCGAAUGAAAACUAUUGUUGUCGUGUAAACUCAUCAAAGGUAAUAACAAUCCCAAGCACCUCCUUUUUCAAAACACAAGCCCUCAAAAGAUCCUCUAGUGACUGAAUCGUCCUCUCAGUCUGACCAUCAGUCUGCGGAUGAUAUGCAGAACUCAAUCUCAGCUUAGUUCCAAAGCCCUCUGCAAACCUUCCCAAAACUUCGAUGUAAAUCUAGGAUCUCUGUCCGAACAAUACUCGACGGAAUACCAUGCAAACUUACAAUUUUCUCAAUAUACAAUUCAGCUAAUCUCUCUAACGGAUAAUCCAUUCUGAUCGGAAUGAAAUGAGCCGAUUUUGUCAAUUCUGUCAACAAUCACCCAAAUAGCUUCAAAAUUCUUAAUUGUCCUCGGUAAACCAGAAACAAAUCCAUACUGAUACUAUCCCACUUCCACUCUGGAAGCCAAGUUGCAUUAGCCCAGACGGCUUCUGAUGCUCGAUCUUUGACUUCUGACAAGUCAAACAAGAAUAAACAAAACUCGCAAUUUCUCUUUUCAUUCCGGCCACCAAAUAACUUUUCAAAUCAUGAUACAUCUUCGUAGCUCCAGGAUGAAUACUCAGGCCACUACGAUGUCCUUCCUCAAGAAUACUCUUCUUAAGUUCGGUACAUCCGGAAUACACACCGAUUACCAAAUUUCAACACACCAUUCUCAUCAACUCUGAAUUCCACCACUUGACCUUGAUUCACUAGAGUCAACUUAUCAACCAAAAGCACAUCGGAUUUCUGACCCUCUCUAAUCUCAUCUAGAAUACUACUUGUUAACUUCAACAUUCCAAUUUAACACUAUUGUGAGUACUCUCACACACCAAACUCAAGUCUCUAAAUCUGCUCAAUUAAAUCAGUUCCUUAACCAUUAACAUAGACAUAUGCAAUGAUUUCCGACUCAAUGCAUCAGCCACUACGUUUACUUUACCCGGAUGGUGAUUCAAACCAAGUCAUAAUCCUUCAGAAACUCUAACCAUCUCCUCUGUCUCAUAUUCAGCUCUUUCUGAUCAAACAAAUACUUUAACUUUUAUGGUCACUGAAAACCUCAAUUCUCGACCCGUACAAGUAAUGCCUCCAUAACUUCAGAACAAUACCACAGCUGCCAACUCUAAAUCGUGUGUCGGAUAGUUCCUCUCAUGAACCUUCAGUUGUCUCGAAGCAUAAGCUACAACCUGCUUAUUCUGCAUCAAAACACCACCCAAACCCAACAAUGAAGCAUCACAGUAAACUCAAAUAAUUCGACGGACUUGGUAAUAUCAAGAAUAGGAGCAGUAGUUAACCUUCUCUUUAACUUUGGAACUUCUCAAUUUUGAGUCCCAACACAAACGCUGCCCCUUUCUAGUCAACAUCGUCAACGGAACGCCAACUUAGAGAAUCCCUCAAUGAAUUUCCUAUAAUAACCUGCAAGUCCAAGAAACUCCUUAUCUCAAGAACUGACUUCGGAGCUUCCCACUUAGAUACCGCUUCUAUCUUAGAAGGAUCAACAGCAACACACCUCUUGAAAUCACAUGCCCAAGAAAACUAACCUCUUCUAACCAAAAUUCACACUUAGACAGUUAGCAAAUAACUUCUUUUCUCGUAGAACUCCUAAACCACUCUCAAUGCUCAGCAUGCUCCUCUUCAGAUUUCGAAUACACCAAAAUAUCGUCAAUAACACCACAACAAACUUGUCUAGGUACGGAUGAAAAUCCUAUUCAUAUACUCCAUAAAUACCCCAGCGCAUUAGUCACCCAAAGGCAUUACAGAAAUACUCAUAAUGUCCAUACCUUGUUCUGAAAGCAGUCUUCUGAAUAUCCUCAGUUUCACACGUAUCUGAUGAUACCAGAUCUCAAAUCUAUUUGUCUGAACACACUCGCACCAACCAACUGAUCCGUAAAUCAUCAAUCCUCGCAAAGGAUACCGAUUCUUGAUCGUCACUUUAUUCAGUUGCCUGUAUCCACACACAACCUCAUGUACCUUCUUUCUUCUUACCAAUAACACUGUGCACCCCACGGCGACACACUCGGACGAAUAAUUUCUUAUCCAACAGAUCUUCCAGUUGACUCUUCAAUUCAGUUAACUCAACAGAGACAUACGGUACGGAGCCAUCGAUAUCGGCCUAGUACCAGGUACCAAAUCAAUCGAGAACUCAACUUCACGCUCUGGCGGUAAUUAUUCACUUCUUCAGGAAACACAUCAGGAAAAUUACACACCACGGCCAGAUCACAAAUCACACAGUUUAUCUUUCGCCUCCAAAGUCGCUAACAACAUAAACAACUCCGCCCAUCUGCUACUACCUCAUUCACCUGCUUGCUGAUAGAAACAAACUCUUUCCUUCCUCAAUCUCAGGAAAGUCACAGUCUUAUCAAACAGUUGAUAUAAACUCGGUUAACACCACCAGUUCAUACCCGGAUAACAUCAAUCUGCACUAGUGGAAGACACACAAGGUCCAUCCCAAAGUCUCUACCAAAAAUACUCAAAGGACAAUUUAAACAAACUGAAGUAGUAGUCACUGAACCCUUCGCAGAGUAUCAAUCACCAUACUACCAUGCAUCUCAGAUAUCUCUAAUUCAAGUUUCACAGCACAAUCCAAGAUAUAAAGGAAUGAGUCGCACCUGUGUCAUAAUAGCUACAAGAGGAAAGCCAUUAAUAUAACACGUACUCGGAUCAAACGAUCAUCUGCAGAAGUCUCAAACCCGAUAAAGCAAAGACCUUGCCUCCUGACUGGUUCUCUCUCUUCGGCUUAGGACACUGUGGGCUGAUAUGACCCACUUCUCCACAUUUGAAACAAGUCACAGUCUUCAACCGGCACUCUGCAGCCAAGUGACCCUUUUCCACACUUGAACACUUCUUCUCAGCACUGUACACUCAUGGACACGAUGUCCAGCCUGACCACAUCUGUAACACUUAGCAGGGGCACUAGAGUCUCCCCCACUAGGCCUCUUCAUCCCACUCUGUCUCUGAAACCUUUGCCAGCUGCAUACGGUUUUCCACGAUCAUUCUGAUUCUUGCCUUUCCUAUCAACCCUCUGCUGAUAGCUCUCCGCUCUGACCUUGGUAUCCUGUUCAAAAAUCCUGCAACAGUCAACCAAAUCAGAAAACACUCUGAUCCGCUGAUAUCCAAUAGCCUGCUUGAUCUCGGGACGUAACCCGUUCUCAAACUUCACACCUUUGAAAAUUCCCAGUAGCCUCGUUAUAGGGAGUGUAAUACUUCGACAGCUCUGUGAACUUAGCAGCAUACUCAGUAACAGACCGGUUGCCUGCUUCAUAUUCUAGAAACUCUAUCUCUUUCUUUCCUCUGACAUCCUCUGGAAAGUACUUCCUCAGGAAUCUCUCUCUGAACACCGCCCAAGUGAUCUCAGUACUUCCAGCAGCUUCCAACUCAGUGCGGGUAGCAACCCACCAAUCAUCUGCUUCCUCUGACAGCAUAUGCGUACCGAACCUAACCUUCUGGUUAUCGGCACACUCAGUCACUCGGAAGAUCCUCUCAGUCUCCUUCAACCACUUCUGAGCACCAUCUGGAUCGUAUGCUCCUUGACAUUGGAGGAUUGUUCUUCUGGAACUCACUCAGUUGACGAGCAGCUCCCAUUCCACAACAUUCGGAUUCCCUCCAAGUACUCCAGCUAGCAUACCCAGAGCCUCAGCAAUCGCAACAUCGUCUCUACCUCUUCCAGCCAUCUCUAUUCUGAAACCCAACAAGCUAAACAAUAAGUACUGAUAGGGUUACACAACACCUAUCCGUACAGGGGAAACAGAAUAAUUACGACUCGACUCGACCGACUAUGCUCUGAUACCACUAAUGUAACACCCUUCUAAAAUACCCCAAAUAUUUAAUUAAAAUAGCAAUAUAUCAAUCAGAGUAAUUAUGCAAUUAAGGGUGUCACACAAUCAUUUCACACCAUUCACCAAAUAACUGUCAUGCUCUUUUAUUAAUUCAAAACAUAAAGCAUUUGCACAAUACGCAGCGGAUAGAAAUCAAAUCAAUCAUGCAAAACAUGUAGCCUAUUACAUGUAAACUGGGUCACAACCAACAAUAAAACAUUUAAAACAUCCCAUCCCGAUGUUACAUCUACAGAGCAUGACCCACUAAGUGAACUACACUAGACUCCAAGCACUAGCUUNGUGUUGACUUUGCUGCUGGAUAUUGCACUAUAAUCUGUAUCUUUCGGUACGCGAAUCUUGGGUUUUAGAUUUUUUCCGAGUUUUUACAACUUGGUGUCUCUGCAUUCUAAUUUUGUUCUUGUGUGUGUUGUGUUAAUGAUAUGAAAAGGAGAUUUAAGUGGUUACUGGUAGAGUUUUAUCAGAAUAGUCAUACUCCCAAUACCCUUUUUAUUAUUCUGAUACUCAUAUCAUGGAUGCCAUAAUACUGCCUAUUUAUCGCACUUCUUCAGAAAUGUGUUGAAAGGCUCUUCAUUUUAUACAUAAUUUAUAUUGAAGUUUGUGUCUUGAGCACCACUUCUUCUAAUUUUAAGCUUUUUGUUUUACUUCAUUCUUUUCUAACUGUUAAAGAUUUGAUUGUAUCUUCAUGGUGCAGAAUUGUUGUCUCAAGUUCACUACAUUGCUUAGAUUUUGGCUAAGAGGCCUUUUGCUUUACUUUUUUUUUAAUUUUGAAGAGAGGUAAGAGUUUUUGAUAACCAUGAUUCUAAGUCAGAUCUAGAAAGUUCAGAAAUACUCUUCAGUUCUUCAUCGAGCUGCUGGAUGUGGUAGCAUAAAUGCUACGUUGGCUUGUUGCAUUCAGAGUAGAUUCUGAUGAUCCUGAUUUACUAUCUCAGGUCGCCAUUAAUCCCAUUCUUUGUUCUUGAGGCAUUUUUCUUGAGUUUCUUUCUUAAAGUUACUUUCUCGCUUGGGGCAUUCAUUUCUAUAAUGACCUGUUUUUUACAUUCAAAACAGGUUAAUAUCUUUAUAGGUUUACCUUUUGAGUUGCAUCUUGAUCUUCCCCUCUGGUCUUGAUCCUUCUGAAAGUUGUGUUUGUUCCUUCUUUUCCAGAGUUGCUUAACUAUUCUGGUUAGUAAGCAGUUUUCUUCAUCAAUCAGGUCCUUCAGGUUCAGAUCAUCAAGUGUCUGCUCUUUCUGUUGAAGAGCCUUGGGUUCUGUCUGACUAUCCCGUCUUUCAGUCUGGACUUCAGCGCCACUGACUUGUUCCUUUUAUGAGGCUCAUCUCCUCUAGUUCUUAUAUGACUUCUGAGAGAGCUAACCAAGUUCUCAAGGUGAUGUUGUUCAGUCUUUGAUACUUGCGAGAGUACAUUGGUCUCCCAUUUCUUUGGCAGACUUUGCAAUCUUCUUAACAUGAAUUUGCAGUCGUAUAUCCUUGUCUAGCACUUUAAGACCUGAAUAAAGAGUUUGGAAUCCUGGAAAACAUAGCUUUAUAGCUUCGUCAUCUCCGUCUUGAAGGCUUCAUACUUCUGCGAUCAACGCCGAGCCUCGUCUCCUUGACUUGGGUAGUUUCCUUCAUGGAGUCAUCUUCAAGAGAGUCAAGUAUUCUUUGCCCGUCUCUCUGUUGGUGAUUUUGUUCGUAUUCGUUGUAUGAUAUAGCAAUUUAGAAAGUAUUUUUCUGGCCUUGUAUGAUUUUGAACACGUUCUGAUCUGUCUGACAUGUCUUGCUUCUGGGAACUUCAGCUCCAUUUUAGGUUGGAGUUUUGUAUCCAUCCUGUGAAAUGUCCAGAGGUCGAUUCAUAACAGAAGAAACUUUCGAUUCUAAUCUUUCCAGUAUCAACUUUUCUCCAUCAAAACAGAGGCUUGCAUUGUAAAAUCUUUCUCAUUUGAGUGGGCCAUUUGUUUUUCUCGCACUGGAUCUCUCUACACGUUAAGUGUUUGAUUGAAAAUCAAUAACAGAGCCGGAGCUCUGAUACAAUGAAGGUGAGAAAACAAGAAAGGGGGGGUUUGAUUGUUGAAAAAAUAAGCGCUUUUGCAAAUGAAAUCACACAAAGAUUUAUACUGGUUCUUAUAACACAAGCUAUGUCCAGUCCACCGGCCAAGGUGAUUUCGCCUUCAACAAGGAUUAAUCCACUAAUCUUGAAAGAUUACAAACAAGCCCUAAGAGAAAGAAAAUCUCUUAGUCCUCUCAAGUCUACAGACUACAACAAGUCACUUGAGGAAUCAAAUAAAAUAGAUACAGUUGUGUAAUCUAGGUGCUUCUAGAGAAGCAAAUAUUACAACUUAAGAACAAAUUUUCACUUGAUAGCAACAGCUUAGUGAAAAUCUUUGAGAACAAGAAGUUUUUCUUGGCGUGAUAUAUUUCAGUAUAGUUUUGGCUAGUGAUUUCUUGGGUAUGCUGAAUGAGAUUUCUUCUCGUAUUAUAGGAGUUGAAGUAGAGUUGAGUAGCGUUGAUCUGUUGGAUAUUGAGAUGUAUUACGCCAUUCCAUUAUAGCUUCUGCAGUAGACUUUUUCCUAGAGUGACUACUUACCACAAUUAGUAUCUUUUUUCUUGGAAGUGGAGAUUAACGUCUCUUUCUAAUUGAGGAAAUCCGUUUGCAGAACUUUAACUUGGCUUAAACGUUACUUCAUCAUGAUUAACAAUUCUGAUUAGAGUCUUUUUGUAUCUGGAGAAAUUGGGUUCUGAUGUUAUCUCUUGAGUUCAGAUGACGCUUGAUAACUUCAGACUUUGCGAAGCAUUUGUUCAGAGUCAGAGCUUCUUGAACGAGAUUCACUUUAGAUGCUUUGAUACUUGAGAUUUUGAUCUGAUCUUGUUUUGCAUCUGAUGACAUCACAGAUUUAUUUCUUCUUUCUUUAAACCCUGCACACUUAGAAACUUUGUUCUUAGGUGCCACUUUUGGUUUCAUUUUGUUAUCAUCAAAAUCAUGGAAUUUGUAGAACUAUUUUUGUUCUUACAGUUUUCUCUUUAAAAUAGUGUCCCUAUUUGAAUUUUGGUGAUGGUUUCAUGAUGACCAAUCGGUGAAGCUCGCCGGAGAAGACAACCGGAGCUCUGGCUCCGGUGAUGAUGUGUCUUUGUUCUAACCAUGUGAUCCAACCUCCACGUUUUAAUCUCAGUCAUUCCUUUGAUUAUUAUUUUCACAGCGCGCUUCACUAAGUUGUUGUGAACGCGUGUGUGAUCAUCAGAUCUGCCACCUCAAUUAAUGAGGGAGAUCUGAUGGUACACAUAUUUUAGCAUUUUCUGAAUUUCUAUUUAAUUCCAUUUUUUAAUUAAUUCAUAAAAUUUAAUAUAGAUCCAAAAUAUGGGAACUUUCACCCAAAAUUCAAAUAUUUUUCAUCGAUUAAUUGAUUUUCAUUUGUUUUAAUUGUUUAAAAAUAUUUUUAAGUUUCCAAAAAUUAUGAAAUUUUUAUCCAAGGUCCUUUGACCUUGUUUGACCUAUGAUAAAUCAAUGGCCAUUUAUUGUGUUUUAAUGUGAUUUUAGGAUUUGACAAACAUAUUUGAAUUUAUGCAUUAUUUUAAUAUUUUUAAUUGAUAAUGUCAUUUUAUUGUGUUGACCAUUUGUAUUGACUUAUUUGGUUUUCUCAUCUGUUGUUGGGCUUGGUCAAGGAUGAUUUGACUUUGUUCAAUUAUAUUAUUGGAUUUAGGGAUUGAUGGAAUGUACAUUCCAUCUCCCAAAAUGAAUGAAUAAUAUUAAUUUGGUAAAAUUCUCCUUUGACAAUUUGAUCUCAUUCAUCCUUUCCUCUUCAUCUAAUUCCCCUUCUUCUUCCAUUCAUUUUCAAUUGGCAAUGAAAUCUCAAAGUACUAAUGCUAUUAAUUGAAGAUUAACAUGAGUAUGGAUGAGAUUAGGCCACAUCUUUUGCAUAUUUUGUGUGUGGUAUGUUUAAUGAGCUAGUUUUAAUACUAUGUCUCCAACAUGCAUUAACACCAAAAGUUUAGUGCCAGCCUCAAAUGUUGAGACUUCUAAUAAAAUGUCCAAUUACGAUUGCUUAACAUAGCGCUAAAUUUGUUUACAAGGCAUAGCAUUCUUGUUAGUGAGAUUGUAAGUUCUCUCUUCCAUGGUAUUUGUGGAACUUCGCCUUCUUUCCUUCCUUGGAAGAUUGUUUGGUUCAAGGAUCAUGCUUGUGGCAAGUGGGUUGAGUGUUCUCCAAAGAAUGUCUUGAAUCAAAAAAGCAAACAAAACUAACUAUUAAUUACUAACAUUAACUUUUUAUUAAGCUUUACUUUAAUGCAAUUACUUUUUAUUAUCAUUUGUCAUUGUACAUAUCAUUCUAAGUGUUUUGUUUAUGCAAUUUUCACUUUGUCCACUUGGACCUAUUGUGUGAUAUACUUUGUUGCUUUGUUUGCUUGAUUGUCUUUGACCUUAAUGCACAUAAUAAUAACCCUAAAACAUUUGAGUGGACUGUUGGUUUGAUUUUGCCCAAUUGGACUUAGAACUUAGGCACAUUCCUUUGCUAAUGGACUUGGCAAUGCCAAUUUGUUUGAAGAACCAAGAACUUUCAAGUUUGAUUCAUCUGAUACACUAUUCAAUCUCUCCAGAUUCAUCUGCAACAUUGAUCAUUGUUAGCUGUUAUGUUGAACUGUGACUUGUAAAUUCAUCUGCUAAUGGGCUAUUUGAAGAAGAUCAUUGAAGUGGAUAGCUUGGAUGAGGCCAUCUUUAUUUGAUUCCUUUUCUCUUAAGAUUGAUAUAUUAUGCAUUUGUGUGUUGCUUGAAUAUAAAAGUCCAGGGAAUUUGGUUUCUAUGCAUACUUGUUUAUUAGAUUGCUCCCAUUGGUCAGAUCUUUUCAACUUUAAACUUUAAAAAUCUUGUAUCUAGGGUAGUUCUUUCAUCUUCUCCCCCAUUUCUUUAAUUUCAAUAUCUCCUCCAUUUUCAAAACCUUCUUGUGUGAACUAUUUUGUUCCAAACUUUGACCACGUUUUACAAAAAGGUAGAAACUUUGGCCUUUGCAUUGCAUUUUCAAAUUUUUUAAAUAAACUUGUAAAUAAACUUAACUAAACUUGACUUAAACUUUCAAAAAGCCAAAAAGACUAACUCAUUCAAACCAUUUAGGCCUUUUGUGCCUUUCAAGCUUAAUUUUGUUUAAACCAACAUACUCACUUUAAAUUUCUAGCACGACUACGAGGUUUUGAUCCCUCAUUUUAUGUUGGUACGUAGGCACAAGACCGAGGUCUUGUCAAAACAAUAUUAAUUAAUGGAUUCUUUUCUCAUCCCCCAUUCUAUUUGUUUGUAAACAUCACUUUGUACAAAUACAUAUGCACACAAAAAGGGCUCCCUAGGAGUACAGGACAUUUGGGUGCUAACAUUUCCCUCUGGUUACCAACCCCUUACCUGUGAUCUCUGAUUUUUAUUAGUUUUUAUUUGAAAACUUCUUACUAAUUGGGUUUUGUUCGUUAUUUUCCUUUUCCCUUGGAAACAUAAAGCGCGGUGGCGACUCUUGUUAAUUGAUCUUUAACUCGUCAAUAGCUUAAUGAUCAUGAAUAUCCCGCUAUAGUUUUUCCUAGUCUCUAAUCUUGCAAUGGUCUGCACCUGAUUAGCGGUUCUCGAAACGGUUCUCUUUAAUCGACUGAUCUUUGGAGUUAGUUUUCACUGUACUCUUGGGUAACUUGCCUUGAUUGAGCCUUUAAGGACUUGCCUCAGACAAAAUGAGUAUUGAAGUGAUUUUCCUCCCUAAUCAACUGAUACUGGAGAUUUAUCUUAUACUGACUAAUUCUUUAGGUCAACACAAUCAUUAGAUGCCAUGCCCUGACUCAUAGGGUUAUGAGGUAGUUUGAUUCGUGUCGACCAACGAUCAUGUACCUCUCUGAUUUCCCUUGUUGGAAUUUCCCUGAUGUCAAGUACUGACAUGUAGCUAAAUUUUUCAUUCAAAAAUGGUAUUUUAAUGCGAUGUUUCGUGCAGGUUUUGAAAAAAAUCAUUUAUUGGAAUGAUGUGGUAGUGUGUGACGAGUGGGCCAUAGAGUCCACGCGGUGCUGGUUUAGCUAGCGUAUGAAUGAUACAACGAGAAUAGAAGAUUAAAAUCUCUAGAUUUAGUUUUAUGCAACCUUGUUGUAGUAUGCUUUCAGAAUAAACCUACUUCAAUUAGCCUCUUGGGUUGUAACGUGGCUUGGUUCAUGGUUUGUAAACAAAGGAUAUAAGGCUCAAUUCGUUUUAAUCCACCCCUUCUUCAUGAUGAUCUCUAGUCUUAUGUUCAGUUGAUUCAACACAGACAUUUGUCUUCUUAAGAUAGUUUUACGAUGUAAAUGAAGAUGAAGUUCAAUAUUUUCUUGAAAUGACAGUCACCUUAUUUUCCUUUUCGGAUGUCAGUGGCCUUUGAUUUUGGUAUGGUUGUCACCGUAUUUGUUUUGUUUUUGUUGAGGAUUUAUACAACUCUUUUGAUUCUUUGUCUUGAUCCCUAACUUUUUCCUGGACUGCUUUUGAAGCUUUAAGUCCAUCGGGAUUGCCCUAAUUUUUUCCUAAGUCUCCUUUCAGGCGUAUCGACUUAGCGGGCUUUUUUUUACUGAUUCCCCUUUUUUAGAGGUUGUGACUGCCAAGUCAUUGGUCACUGAAGAACAAUCAACUAACUUUUGGGUUUUUCAAGGUUCCUUCGAACUUCAGGAUGUGUGGAAGAUUCGCAUGUUUGAUACACAUAUGGGAUAUCUCAUCUUGUAAUUCGAAUAUGUAGUCAGCUUAACUGAACACUAACCUGCCCCGGGGUAAGGUUUUUUUAGCUCCAAAGAAACUCCUACUUUUAGGCUCAAAGUGGUUAACUAGGGAUUAACUCAUUAUCUCUCUAGUGUUUGGGGAUUUGAAGCAUGCUUAUACAUCAUCAGCAGGAUUUCAUCCGAAAGCAUAUAGUCAACAAUUAUGAGUAUUUGUUUUCGUCAUCCUCCUUCUAACAGUAGUAUGAUAAAAAAGUGAAGGGGAAAAGUAUGUGUUUGUGCUUUGCAAUAAUGAGUGAAUACGAAAAGAUUGACUCAAAACAUGCUAUCAUUUCAUUAAUAAGACCAAUACAAAUAACAAUGCUAAAGCAGACAGUUCUUAGAAAAUGAGAACAAAUACAGAAUGCAAAAUGGUAAAAUCGCCAUAAUGACUGCCUUCAUUGAGGAAAUGAUCCUUCUUUCUUUUUGUUGUCGAACUAGCUUCGUCAGGAAUUGUUAUAACUUGUUCAGGCGGUAUGAAGCUUAUCUUCGGCAAUCCCUUUAAUGAAAUUCACUUACUACUCUGCAUGCGCCGACAUGAGAUUUGUCGCAAUAUUUGGGCUAACUGGCGUGAAAGAAAUUUCCUUAUUGUCAAUCAGGUCUUAAACUUUGUGUUUCAAAGCCUUACAAUUCUCCAUUGUGUGCCCUGGGGCACCCAUAUGAUACUCACAAUGAGCAUUGGCGUUAUAGCUGGUGGAUAAGGAGGAAUCGCAAGCGUUAGCUUUUCAAGUAAUCGAUCCACCUUUUAGUAGGUAAAGAAGGAUUUGGCUGUAUGGUACUGGCAAAGGAUCAAAUGUCUUUUCGGCUCUUUACCUCUGCUGGUUAGUGUUACGUUGUUCUGGACACGUUGUUGUUGAUUAUGGUGUUGUUGCUGGUAAGUUGGUUGUUGAUAUGGUUGCUGAUAUGGAGUUUGCAUGACGGCGGUAGCCUGAUGGUAGGACAGGAACAUAUGGAUGUUCUCUAUGUCCCAUCUCCUUAUUGGAAUUGGCCUGACCUUCUGCUUCUUCGGAGGUUGGGAUAUGAUUUCUUCACUCCACUUGAGGCGUUGGCGGGCAUGGCAACUUUCCUUUCCUGAUCUGGAUCUCAAUUCGUUCCCCAACAGAAACAACCUCGGCGAAAGUGGGAAUCUGGAUCCUACAAUUUUCUCCAUGUAUUGGGCAUAAGAGUCCCCAUAAACAUAUCAAUUUGUUCUUUAUCAAGGAGAGGAGGUUGGACACGAGCUGCAAGCUCUCUCACCGCUGGGCAUAUUCCUUGAUGAAUCGUUGUUGCGUUGAGUCAUGUCUUGCAGCUGGGAGCGAUUGGGCGCCAGGUCAGUGUUGUAUUGAUAAUGCCUAAGAAAGGCUUAUGCGAGAUCAUUCAAUGAUUGGACUGUCCCCUCUCUAUUUGCAUGUCCACUCUAAGGAUGCCCCACUGAGGUUAUCUUGGAAUUAAUGAAUCAAGAGUUGAUCAUUACUGAUGUGGGUCGCCAUCUUAUGACAGUAAGCUCUGAGGUGAGUUCUAAGGCAGCUAAUCCCUUUGUAUUUGUCAAAAUCUGGACUUUGAAUUUUGUGGAUCACCAGGCCUGACACCAGCACAGAUCGACAACAUCCAACCGGAGUAGUGUGAACCUCAAAGUACUUGAAUUUCCUCUCAACGCAUGGAGUCUCUCAACAUGUGAUGGUUGCAUGAAGAAGAUCAUAUUGAUCUUCAUCAUCAAACAUGGAUCCAUGUCGAGCAGAUGCGGUAGAAUGUUCAGGGGGGUUACAUUGACCAUUCGGAUAGGAAUAGGGAUAGGGCCUCCGUAGGAUAAGCAAGACUGCCAUCGAGUUAGUUACUCAGGGAUGCUAAGCGACGGCGAACCAAACUGAGCAGCAACUCUUCUGGCUUAGGUAUUACUUUCAGCAUCUUUUUCUUUUUGGGCUAAGAGCAACAUAGUCUCAAGAAAAUGAUCCAUCUUUGCCUGCAUAGAGUCAAUGUUUAUUCUCAUUGAAACUUGGUUUGCCUCAAGUUGUUCGAGUGUCUCCUGUAGUUCUGACGCGUCUCGUACCGGUGUCGAGUAGUCAUUAUUACUGGACAAGGGUAAAAUAUGGUGUAAGUUUUUUUUAGUUUUCUGGUUCAUGAAAAUGAUAUGCAAUUCAUGUUGAUGAUAUGCAAAUGCAUGAAAUUUUGCCACGUAUUUUUAUGCAAGGAAUACAAUGCAAUACUCAUGAUCACCUACAUGUUGUGUAGUCAGGUAAUACGAGGAAGUAUAGGUUUCUCUGAUUACUGAAAACCAAGGUGGGUUCUAAGGUUGUGUUUUAAGGGAAGAACUUAGAGUCACAGAUCAUGUUUCAAAACUUCCUCGCAAUAGUGGGAUGGCCACAUUGUAACACCCUUCUAAAUACCCCAAAUAUUUAAUUAAAUAGCAAUAAUCAAUCAGAGUAAUUAUGAAAUUAAGGGUGUCACACAAUCAUUUCACACCAUCACCAAAUAACUGUCAUGCUCUUUAUUUAUUCAAAACAUAAAGCAUUUGCACAAUACGCAGCGGAUAGAAAUCAAAUCAAUCAUGCAAAACAUGUAGCCUAUUACAUGUAAUGGUCGGAACAUAAACCAUUUAAAACAUCCCAUUCGUGUUACAUCUACCGAGAUGACCCAUAAGGAACUACACUAGACUUCGAGCACUAGCUCCUACUCAAUCACUGCUCGUUACCUAAAAAUAGUUGUAAGGGUGAGUUCCUCAAUCAAUAUAAUAAGCAUUAUAAAAUAUCAUGAAAUGCUAAGUAAUUAACACAUAUCAUCACCCUAAUCAGAUCACACAUAUUCAGCAACGACAAUAUCAACUCAUAAUCAUCAUCAUCUCAUACUCAAACUCAACACAACCAUAAAACAUACGUAUAUAUUGGAAUACAUCCAUUCAUAUUAUACGCCAUACAUACAGCAUACAUUAUGCAAUGAGACUCCAUGCAUGCGGUACCGACUAUCUGAACAUAUAGUUCAACCUCACCGAUCAAAUCCAGAUACGGCUACCAAGCUCACUAGUCCACUCAUUUGAGACCUAGUGACUCACUCAAUAAUCCUCACCAGGGGAAUUAGCUACCACCCCAAGGGCAUGAUAUGCACGCUAAUCACUAGCAUGCAAACAUCAACAAUCAUCCACAAUGAUUCACUCACUAAUUCCUCACCAUGGGAAUUAGCUACCACCAUUAAGGCCACAAUAUGCAAGCUAUCACUUAGUCAUGCAAACAUCGACAAUCAUCCACAAUGGACAUAUGCUCACACUUAUAAGCCAUAAACAGUCCAUUCAUAUUUCAUACAUGAUAGAUACAUUCACACAUUAUGCAUAUAUCAUACAAUCAUCACAUAUUCACCACAUAAUCAUAUCAUGUCAACCACAUAAUCAAUCACAGCAUUAGCACACUCUACUAAUACCUUACUACUCAAACCAACGGGAAAUGAUCCCUACUCUAUCAUACAUCACAAAAUUACAUUACUCAGCUGAACAACAAAAACUGCACAACAACAGCACAGAAAAAUCACAAUCCUGCCCAUAAGCGUAUUGCCUAGUCCAUACGCGUAUGGCCAAUUCUCAGCCAAUCCCAUAGCGUACCACUAUCUCAUCGCGUAUGCUACGCGUACCACUCCCAUACGCGUACCAACAGAGACCAAACCACGUUCAACAUCAUCUUCUCAUCCAUACGCGUAAUGCCUAGUGCCAUACGCGUACCAGACCAUCUCAUACGCGUAUUGCCUAGUGCCAUACGCGUAUGACCAGAAACCAGAUUUCCAGAUCUGCUAUGGUUUUCUCUGCUACGAGAUCUCCCAAUUCCAACCUCUUACAAUUCAAUUUUACACAGUAAUCGUUCAUAUCAUCUAACACGAAUUAUCCCCUAUCGAUUUCACAAAUUCUAACAUUUUUAAUCUAAUUCCUACGAAUUCCCUUCUUAAUCUCAAUUUUUUCAUCCAAAAGUUCACAAUUUCAUCAUGCAUCAUUCUAAUCAGAGUCAAAUCAAUGGUUUAUCACUACCCAUUACAUGUUAUCCCAUAAUACCCAUUAAUCGACGAUAAACCCCCCUUCUGAGUUAUCCGACAAUCCUUCAGCUUCAAGCUCUUCCUCUCUUCAACCUUGUUCUCUGGCUCUUUUUCCACUUUUCUCGUCUCUUUUCCUUCACGUGAAAAUAACCCUUUUACCAAAUGGGACCUUUUCUAAUUCCAACUUUUAUUCAAUAAUAAUAAUAAUAAUCAAUAAUUCCAAUUAUUUAAUUAAAUUAAUAAAUAUAUAUUAACUUAAAUUAAAUAAUUAUCUUAUUUUUUAUCGGGUGUUACAACUCUCCCCACUAAAGAGUUUUCGUCCUCGAAAACAUACCUCAGGCGAAUAACUCCGGAUAAGACUCUUCAUCUGACUCUCAAGUUCCCAAUUACAUGCGCACUGCUGGUCCUCCCCAAGCUACCUUUACCCAAAGCAAUCUCUUUACCCGCAACUGCUUCAUCUCGAUCCUCGAUCCUCAUAGGUGAUGUUUCAACAGUCAGGUUAUUCUCACCUGUACAUCAUCUACUUGGACACAUGCGACGGAUCAGGAUGUACCUCCUCAACUGAGACACAUGAAACCUCAUGCAAAUUCGCAAGUGACGGCGGUAACCGAUACGAUAGGCUACCCUCCUAUCCUCUCCAAAAUUGAUAAGGACCAAAAAUCGAGGUGUCAACUUCUUCGACUUCAAAGCUCGACCAACCCCAGUUAUCGGAGUAACACGAAGAAACACUGGUCCCCUCUUGAAACUCAAGUGACUUCCUUCUGUUGUCGUGAUAACUCUUCUGACGACUCUGAGCAUCCUCAUCUUCUCCUGAAUCAUCUUAAUCUUUCCGUAGUUUGUUAACAAUCUCCGGUCCAAUCACAGCACUCUCACCGGACUCAUACCAACAUAAAGGUGUCCGACAUCUCCUACCAACAAGCUUCAACGGUGCCAUACAAUGCUCGAAUGAAAACUAUUGUUGUCCGUUAAACUCAAUCAAAGGUAAAUAACAAUCCCAAGCACCUCCUUUUCCAAAACACAAGCCCUCAAAAGAUCCUAGUGACUGAAUCGUCCUCUCAGUCUGACCACAGUCUGCGGAUGAUAUGCAGAACUCAAUCUCAGCUUAGUUCCAAAGCCCUCUGCAAACCUUCCCAAAACUUCGAUGUAAAUCUAGGAUCUCUGUCCGAAACAAUACUCGACGGAAUACCAUGCAAACUUACAAUUUUCUCAAUAUACAAUUCAGCUAAUCUCUCUAACGGAUAAUCCAUUCUGUCGGAAUGAAAUGAGCCGAUUUUGUCAAUCUGUUAACAUCACCACAAAUAGCUUCAAAAUUCUUAAUUGUCCUCGGUAAACCAGAAACAAAAUCCAUACUGAUACUAUCCACUUCACUCUGGAAUAGCCAAGUUGCAUUAGCCCAGACGGCUUCUGAUGCUCGAUCUUUGACUUCUGACAAGUCAAACAAGAAUAACAAAACUCGCAAUUUCUCUUUUCAUUCCGGCACCAAAAAUAACUUUUCAAAUCAUGAUACAUCUUCGUAGCUCAGGAUGAAUACUCAGGCCACUACGAUGUCCUUCCUCCAAGAAUACUCUUCUUAAGUUCGGUAACAUCCGGAAUACACACCGAUUACCACAUUUCAAACACCAUUCUCAUCAACUCUGAAUUCACCACCUUGACCUUGAUUCACUAGAGUCAACUUAUCAACCAAAAGCACAUCGGAUUCUGACCUCUCUAAUCCAUCUAGAAUACUACUUGUUAACUUCAACAUUCCAAUUUAACACAUUGUGAGUACUCUCACACACCAAACUCAAGUCUCUAAACUGCUCAUUAAAUCAGUUCCUUAACCAUUAACAUAGACAUAUGCAAUGAUUUCCGACUCAAUGCAUCAGCCAUAGUUUACUUUACCCGGAUGGUGAUUCAAACCAAAGUCAUAAUCCUUCAGAAACUCUAACCAUCUCUCUGUCUAUAUUCAGCUCUUUCUGAUCAAACAAUACUUUAACUUUUAUGGUCACUGAAACUCAAAUCUCGACCCGUACAAGUAAUGCCUCCAUAACUUCAGAACAAUACCACAGCUGCAACUCUAAAUCGUGUGUCGGAUAGUUCCUCUCAUGAACUUCAGUUGUCUCGAAGCAUAAGCUACAACCUGCUUAUUCUGCAUCAAAACACCACCCAAACCAACAAUGAGGCAUCACAGUAAACUCAAUAAUUCGAGGACUUGGUAUAUCAGAAUAGGAGCAGUAGUUAACUUCUCUUUAACUUGGAACUUCUUCACAUUUUGAGUCCCAACAAACGCUUGCCCUUUCUAGUCAACAUGUCACGGUAACGCCACUUAGAGAAUCCCUCAAUGAAUUUCCUAUAAACCUGCAAGUCCAAGAAAUCUUAUCUCAGAACUGACUUCGGAGCUUCCACUUAAUACCGCUUCUAUCUUAGAAGGUCAACAGCACACAACUCUUGAAAUCACAGACCAGAAAACUAACCUCUUCUAACCAAAAUUCACACUUAGAGUUUAGCAAAUACUUCUUUUCUCGUAGAACUCCUAAACCACUCUCAAAUGCUCAGCAUGCUCCUCUUCAGAUUUCGAAUACACCAAAAUAUCGUCAAUAAAACCACAACAAACUUGUCUAGGUACGGAUGGAAAUCCUAUUCAUAUACUCAUAAUACCCAGCGCAUUAGUACCCCAAAGGCAUUACAGAAUACUCAUAAUGUCCAUACCUUGUUCUGAAAGCAGUCUCUGAAUAUCCUCAGUUUUCACACGUAUUUGAUGAUACCAGAUUCAAAUCUAUUUUGCUGAACACACUCGCACCAACCAACUGAUCAUCAAAUCAUCAAUCCUCGGCAAAGGAUACCGAUUCUUGAUCGUCACUUUAUUCAGUUGCCUGUAUCCACACACAACUCAUAGUACUUCUUUCUUCUUACCAUAACCUGUGCACCCACGGCGACACAUCGGACGAAUAAAUUUCUUAUCCAACAGAUCUUCCAGUUGACUCUUCAAUUCAGUUAACUCAACAGCAGACAUACGGUACGGAGCCAUCGAUAUCGCCUAGUACCAGGUACCAAAUCAAUCGAAACUCACUUCACGCUCUGGCGGUAAUUCAUUCACUUCUUCAGGAACACAUCAGGAAAAUUACACACCACGGCCAGAUCACAAAUCACCAGUUUAUCUUUCGCCUCCAAAGUCGCUAACAACAUAAACAACUCCGCCCCAUCUGCUACUACCUCAUUCACUGCCUUGCUGAUAGAAACAACUCUUUCCUUCCUCAAUCUCAGGAAAGAUCACAGUCUUAUCAAAAGUUGAUAUAAACUCGGUUAAACACCAACCAGUUCAUACCCAGGAUAACAUCAACUGCACUAGGAAGACACACAGGUCCAUCCCAAAGUCUCUACAAAAUACUCAAAGGACAAUUUAAACAAACUGAAGUAGUAGUCACUGAACCCUUCGCAGGAGUAUCAAUCACCAUACUACCAUGCAUCUCAGAUAUCUCUAAUUCAAGUUUCACAGCACAAUCCAAAGAUAUAAAGGAAUGAGUCGCACCUGGUGUCAAUAAUAGCUACAAGAGGAAAGCCAUUAAUAUAACACGUACCUCGGAUCAAACGAUCAUCUGCAGAAGUCUCAAACCCGAUAAAGCAAAGACCUUGCCUCCUGACUGGUUCUCUCUCUUCGGCUUAGGACACUGGGGCUGAUAUGACCCACUUCUCCACAUUUGAAAACAAGUCACAGUCUUCAACCGGCACUCUGCAGCCAAGUGACCACCUUUUCACACUUGAACACUUCUUCUCAGCAAUGUCACUCAUGGACACGAUGUCCAGCCUGACCACAUCUGUAACACUUACAGGGGCACUAGAGUCUCCCCCACUAGGCCUCUUCAUCCCACUCUGUCUCUGAAACCUUUGCCAGCUGCAUACGGUUUUCCACGACAUUCUGAUUCUUGCCUUUCCUAUCAACCCUCUGCUGAUAGCUCUCGCUCUGACCUUGGUAUCCUGUUCAAAAAUCCUGCAACAGUCAACCAAUCAGAAAACACUCUGAUCCGCUGAUAUCCAAUAGCCUGCUUGAUCUCGGACGUAACCCGUUCCAAACUUCACACACUUUGGAAAAUUCCCAGUAGCCUCGUUAUAGGGAGUGUAAUACUUCGACAGCUCUGUGAACUUAGCAGCAUACUCAGUAACAGACCGUUGCCCUGCUUCAAUUCUAAGAACUCUAUCUCUUUCUUUCCUCUGACAUCCUCUGGAAAGUACUUCCUCAGGAAUCUCUCUCUGAACACCGCCCAAGUGAUCUAGUACUUCCAGCAACUUCCAACUCAGUGCGGGUAGCAACCACACAAUCAUCUGCUUCCUCUGACAGCAUAUGCGUACCGAACCUAACCUUCUGGUUAUCGCACACUCAGUCACUCGGAAGAUCCUCUCAGUCUCCUUCAACCACUUCUGAGCACCAUCUGGAUCGUAUGCUCCUUGAACAUUGGAGGAUUGUUCUUCUGGAACUCACUCAGUUGACGAGCAGCUCCCAUUCCACAACAUUCGGAUUCCCUCCAAGUACUCCAGCUAGCAUACCCAGAGCCUCAGCAAUCGCAACAUCGUCUCUACCUCUUCCAGCCAUCUCUAUUCUGAAAAACCAACAGCUAAACAAUAAGUACUGAUAGGGUUACACAACACUAUCCCGUACAGGGGAAACAGAAUAAUUACGACUCGACUCGACCGACUAUGCUCUGAUACCACUAAUGUAACACCCUUCUAAAAUACCCCAAAUAUUUAAUUAAAAUAGCAAUAUAUCAAUCAGAGUAAUUAUUGCAAUUAAGGGUGUCACACAAUCAUUUCACACCAUUCACCAAAUAACUGUAUGCUCUUUUAUUAAUUCAAAACAUAAAGCAUUUGCACAAUACGCAGCGGAUAGAAAUCAAAUCAAUCAUGCAAAACAUGUAGCUAUUACAUGUAAACUGGGUCACAACAACAAUAAACAAUUAAAACAUCCCAUCCCGAUGUUACAUCUACCAGAGCAUGACCCACUAAGGAACUACACUAGACUAAGCACUAGCUCCUACCAAUCACUGCUCGUUACCUGGAAAAUAGUUGUAAGGGUGAGUUCCUCAAUCAAUAUAAUAAGCAUUAUAAAAUAUCAUGAAAUGCUAAGUAAUUUAACACAUAUUAUCACCCUAAUCAGAUCACACAUAUUCAGCAACGACAAUAUCAACUCAUAAUCAUCAUCAUCAUCAUACUCAAACUCAACACAACCAUAAAACAUACGUAUAAUAUUGGAAUACAUCCAUUCAUAUUAUACGCCAUACAUACAUGCAUACAUUAUGCAAUGAGACUCCAUGCAUGCCGUACCGACUAUUUCGUGAACAUAUAGUUCAACCUCACCGAUCAAAUCCAGAUACGGCUACCAAGCUCACUAGUCCCACUCAUUUGAGACCUAGUGACUCACUCACUAAUUCCUCACCAUGGGAAUUAGCUACCACCCCAAGGGCUAUGAUAUGCACGCUAAUCACCUAGCAUGCAAACAUCAACAAUCAUCCACAAUGAUUUACUCACUAAUUCCUCACCAUGGGAAUUACUACACCAUAAAAGGCCACAAUAUGCAAGCUAAAUCACUUAGUCAUGCAAACAUCGACAAUCAUCCACAAUGGACAUAUGCUCACACUCUAAGCCAUAAACAGUCCAUUCAUAAUUUCAUACAUGAUAGAUACAUUCACCACAUUAUGCAUAUCAUCAUACAUCAUCACAUAUUCACCACAUAAUCAUUCAUGUCAUACCACAUAAUCAAUCACAGCAUUAGCACACUCUACUAAUACCUAUACUACUCAAACCAACGGGAAAUGAUCCCUAUCUAUCAUACAUCAACUAAAUUACAUUACUCAGCUGAACAACCAAAAACUGCACAACAACAGCACAGAAAAAUCACAAUCCUGCCAUACGCGUAUUGCUAGUCCCAUACGCGUAUGGCCCAAUUCUCACGCAAUCCCAUACGCGUACCACCUAUCUCAUACGCGUAUGCUACGCGUACCACUUCCCCAUACGCGUACCAACAGAGCCAAACCACGUUCAAAACAUCAUCUUCCUCAUCCAUACGCGUAAUGCCUAGUGCCAUACGCGUACCAGACCAUCUCAUACGCGUAUUGCCUAGUGCCAUACGCGUGACCAGAAACCAGAUUUCCAGAUCUGCUAUGGUUUCUCUGCUACGAGAUCUCCCAAUUCCAACCUUUACAAUUCAAUUUACACAGUAAUCGUUCAUAUCAUCUAACACGAAUUAUCCCCUAUUCGAUUUACAAAUUCUAACAUUUUUACAUCUAAUUCCUACGAAUUCCCUUCAAUUAUAAUCCAAAUUUCGUUCAUCAAAAGUUACAAUUUCAUCAUGCAUCAUUCUAAUCAGAGUCAAAUCAAUGGUUUAUCACUACCCAUUACAUGUUAUCCCAUAAUACCCAUUAAUCGACGAUAAACCCCCCUUACCUGAGUUAAUCCGGCAAUCCUUCAGCUUCAAGCUCUUCCUCUCUUCAACCCUUGUUCUCUGGCUCUUUUUCACUUUUCGUCUCUUUUCCUUUCACGUGAAAAAUAACCCUUUUACCAAAUGGGACCUUUGGUGAUGAUAUGUGUUAAAUUACUUAGCAUUUCAUGAUAUUUUAUAAUGCUUAUUAUAUUGAUUGAGGAACUCACCCUUACAACUAUUUUUCAGGUAACGAGCAGUGAUUGAGUAGGAGCUAGUGCUCGAAGUCUAGUGUAGUUCCUUAGUGGGUCAUGCUCUGGUAGAUGUAACAUCGGGAUGGGAUGUUUUAAAUGGUUUAUUGUUGGUUGUGACCCAGUUUACAUGUAAUAGGCUACAUGUUUUGCAUGAUUGAUUUGAUUUCUAUCCGCUGCGUAUUGUGCAAAUGCUUUAUGUUUUGAAUAAAUAAAAGAGCAUGACAGUUAUUUGGUGAAUGGUGUGAAAUGAUUGUGUGACACCCUUAAUUUCAUAAUUACUCUGAUUGAUAUAUUGCUAUUUUAAUUAAAUAUUUGGGGUAUUUUAGAAGGGUGUUACAAUGUGGCCAUCCCACUAUUGCGAGGAAGUUUUGAACAUGAUCUGUGACUCUAAGUUCUUCCCUUGAAAACACAACCUUAGAACCCACCCUUGGGAUUUUCAGUAAUCAGAGAAACCUAUACUUCCUCGUAUUACCCUGACUUACACAACAUGUAGGUGAUCAUGAGUAUUGCAUUGUAUUCCCUUGCAUAAAAAUACGUGGCAAAAUUUCAUGCAUUUGCAUAUCAUCAACAUGAAUUGCAUAUCAUUUUCAUGAACCAGAAAACUAAAAAAAACUUACACCAUAUUUUACCCUUUGUCCAGUAAUAAUGACUACUCGACACCGGUACGAGACGCGUCAGAACUACAGGAUGACACUCGAACAACUUGAGGCAAACCAAGUUUCAAUGAGAAUAAACAUUGACUCUAUGCAGGCAAAGAUGGAUCAUUUUCUUGAGACUAUGUUGCUCUUAGCCCAAAAAGAAAAAGAUGCUGAAAGUAAUACCUAAGCCAGAAGAGUUGCUGCUCAGUUUGGUUCGCCGUCGCUUAGCAUCCCUGGAGUAACUAACCUCGAUGGCAGUCUUGCUUAUCCUAACGGAGGCCCUAUCCCUAUUCCUAUCCGAAUGGUCAAUGUACACCCCCCUGAACAUUCUACCGCAUCUGCUCGACAUGGAUCCAUGAUUGAUGAUGAAGAUCAAUAUGAUGCUUUCUUCAUGCCACAACUCACAUGUUGAGAGACUCCAUGCGUUGGAGGAGAAAUUCAAGUACUUUGAGGUUCACACUACUCCCGGUUUGGAUGUUGUCGAUCUGUGCCUGGUGUCAGGCCUGGUGAUCCCACAAAAAUUCAAAGUCCAGAUUUUGACAAGUACAAAGGGAUUAGCUGCCUUAGAACUCACCUCAGAGCUUACUGUCAUAAGAUGGCGACCCACAUCAGUAAUGAUCAACUCUUGAUUCAUUAAUUCCAAGAUAACCUCAGUGGGGCAUCCUUAGAGUGGUACAUGCAAAUAGAGAGGGGACAGGUCCAAUCAUUGAAUGAUCUCGCAUAAGCCUUUCUUAGGCAUUAUCAAUACAACACUGACCUGGCGCCCAAUCGCUCCCAGCUGCAAGACAUGACUCAACGCAACAACGAUUCAUUCAAGGAAUAUGCCCAGCGGUGGAGAGAGCUUGCAGCUCGUGUCCAACCUCCUCUCCUUGAUAAAGAACUAAUUGAUAUGUUUAUGGGGACUCUUCAUGCCCAAUACAUGGAGAAAAUUGUAGGAUCCAGAUUCCCAACUUUCGCCGAGGUUGUUUCUGUUGGGGAACGAAUUGAGAUCCAGAUCAGGAAAGGAAAGUUGCCAUGCUCCGCCAACGCCUCAAGUGGAGUGAAGAAAUCAUAUCCCAACCUCCCGAAGAAGCCAGAAGGUCAGGCCAAUUCCAUAAUGGGAGGAUGGGGACAUAGAGAACAUCCAUAUGUUCCUGUGCCCUACCAUCAGGCUACCGCCGUCAUGCCAACUCCAUAUCAGCAACCAUAUCAACAACCAACUUACCAGCAACAACACCAUAAUCAACAACAACGUGUUCCAGAACAACGUCAACCUAACCAGCAGAGGGUAAGGAGGCCAGAAAGACAUUUGAUCCUUUGCCAGUACCAUACAGCCAAAUCCUUCCUUACCUACUAAAAGGUGGAUCGAUUACCUUGAAAGAGCUAACGCUUGCGAUUCCUCCUUAUCCACCAGGCUAUAACGCCAAUGCUCAUUGUGAGUAUCAUAUGGGUGCCCCAGGGCACACAAUGGAGAAUUGUAAGGCUUUGAAACACAAAGUUUAAGACCUGAUUGACAAUAAGGAAAUUUCUUUCACGCCAGUUAGCCCAAAUAUUGCGACAAAUCUCAUGUCGGCGCAUGCAGAGUAGUAAGUGAAUUUCAUUAAAGGGAUUGCCGAAGAUAAGCUUCAUACCCGCCUGAACAAGUAUAACAAUUCCUGACGAAGCUAGUUCGACAACAAAUCAAGAAAGGAAGGAUCAUUUCCUCAAUGAAGGCAGUCAUUAUGCGAUUUUACCAUUUUGCAUUCUUGUAUUUUGUUCUCAUUUGUCUAAGAACUGUCUGCUUUAAGCAUUGUUAUUUGUAUUUGGUCUUAUUAAUGAAAUGAUUAUGCAUGUUUUGAGUCAAUCUUUUCGUAUUCACUCAUUUAUUGCAAAGCACAAACACAUACUUUUCCCCUUCACUUUCUUUAUCAUACUACUGUUAGAAGGAGGAUGACGAAAACAAAAUACUCAUAAUUGUUGACUAUAUGCUUUCGGAUGAAAUCCUGCUGAUGAUGUAUAAGCAUUGCUUCAAAUCCCCAAACACUAGAGAGAUAAUGAGUUAAUCCCUAGUUAACCACUUUGAGCCUAGAAGUAGGAGUUUCUUUUGGAGCUAAAAAAACCUUACCCCGGGGCAGGGUAGUGUUCAGUUAAGCUGACUACAUAUUCGAAUUACAAGAUGAGAUAUCCCAUAUGUGUAUCAACUACAUGCGAAUCUUCCACACAUCCUGAAGUGUCGAAGGAACCUUGAAAAACCCAAAAGUUAUGUUGAUUGUUCUUCAGUGACCAAUGACUUGGCAGUCACAACCUCUAAAAAAGGGGGAAUCAGUAAAAAAAGCCCGCUAAGUCGAUACGCCUGAAAGGAGACUUAGGAAAAAAUUAGGGCAAUCCCGAUGGACUUAAAGCUUCAAAAAAGCAGUCCAGGAAAAAGUUAGGGAUCAAGACAAAGAAUCAAAAGAGGUUGUAUAAAUCCUCAACAAAAACAAAACAAAUACGGUGACAACCAUACCAAAAUCAAAGGGUCACUGACAUCCGAAAAGGAAAAUAAGGUGACUGUCAUUUCAAGAAAAUAUUGAAUCUUCAUCUUCAAUUUUACAUCGUAAAACUAUCUUAAGAAGACAAAUGUCUGUGUUGAAUCAACUGAACAUAAGACUAGAGAUCAUCAUGAAGAAGGGGUGGAUUAAAACGAAUUUGAGCCUUAUAUCCUUUGUUUCACAAACCAUGAACCAAGCCACGUUACAACCCUCAAAAGAGCUAAUUGAAGUAGGGUUUAUUCUGAAAGCAUACUACAACAAGGUUGCAUAAACUAAAUCCUAGAGAUUUUCUAAUCUUCUAUUCUCGUUGUAUCAUUCAUACGCUAGCUAAACCAGCACCGCGUUGGGACUCAUGGCCCACUCGUCACACACUACCACAUCAUUCCAAUAAAUGAUUUUUUUCAAAACCUGCACGAACAUCGCAUUAAAAUUACCAUUUUUUGAAUGAAAAUUUUAGCUACAUGUCAGUACUUGACAUCAGGGAAAUUCCAACAAGGGGAAAUCAGAGAGGUACAUGAUCGUUGGUGCUGACACGAAUCAAAACUACCUCAUAACCCUAUGAGUCAGGGGCAUGGCAUCUAAUGAUUGUGUUGACCUAAGAAUUAGUCAGUAUAAGAUAAAUCUCCAAGUAUCAGUUGAUUAGGGAGGAAAAUCACUUCAAUACUCAUUUUGUCUGAGGCAAGUCCCUUAAAGGCUCAAUCAAGGGCAAGUUACCCAAAGAGUACAGUGAAAACUAACUCCCAAAGAUCAGUCGAUUAAAGAGAACCGUUUCGAGAACCGGCUAAUCAGGUGCAGACCAUUGCAAGAUUUAGAGACUAGGAAAAACUAUAGCGGGAUAUUCAUGAUCAUUAAGCUAUUGACGAGUUAAAGAUCAAUUAACAAGAGUCGCCACCGCGCUUUUAUUGUUUCCAAGGGAAAAGGGAAAAUAACGAACAAAACCCAAUUAGUAAGAAGUUUUCAAAUAAAAACUAAUAAAAAUCAGAGAUCACAGGUAAGGGGGUUGGUUACACAGAGGGAAGAUGUUAGCACCCAAAGUGUCCUAGGUACUCCUAGGGAGCCCUUUUUGUGUGCAUAUGUAUUUUGUACAAAGUGAUGUUUACAAACAAAUAGAAUGGGGGAUGAGAAAAGAAUUCAUUAAUUAUAUUUUUGUGUUUGACCAAGACCUUCGGUCUUGUGCCUACGUACCAACAUAAAAAUGAGGGAUCAAAACCUCGUAGUUCGUGCUAGAAAUUUUAAAGUGAGUAUGUUGGUUUUAACAAAAAUUAAGCUUGAAAGGCACAAAGGCCUAAAAUGGUUUGAAUGAGUUAGUUCUUUUUGGCUUUUUGAAAGUUUAAGUCAAGUUUAGUUAAGUUUAUUUACAAGUUUGAUUUAAGAAAAUAAGUUUGAAAAUGCAAUGGCAUAAGGCCAAAGUUUCUACCUUUUUGUAAAACGUGGUCAAAGUUUGGAACAAAAUAGUUCACACAAAGAAGGUUUUGAAAAUGGAGGGAGAUAUUUUGAAAUUAAAGAAAUGGGGAGAAGAUGAAGAGACUACCCUAGAUACAAGAUUUUUAAAGUUUAAAGUUGAAAAGAUCUGACCAAAUGGGAGCAAUCUAAUAAACAAGUAUGUCAAUAGAAACCCAAAAUUCCCUUGGACUUUUUAUAUUCAAGCAACACACAAAUGCAUAAUUAUAUCAAUCUUAAAGAGAAAAGGAAUCAAAUAAAGAUGGCCUCAUCCAAGCUUAUCCACUUCAAUGAUCUUCUUCAAAAUAGCCCAUGUAGCAGAUGAAUUUUACAAGUCACAGGUUCAACAUAACAGCUUAACAAUGAUCAAUGUUGCAGAUGAAUCUGGAGAGAUCUUGAAUAGUGUAUCAGAUGAAUUCAAACUUGAAAGUUCUUGGUUCUUCAACAAAUUGGCAUUGGCCAAGUCCAUUAGCAAAGGAAUGUUGCCUAAGUUCUAAGUCCAAUUGGGCAAAAUCAAACCAACAGUCCACUCAAAUGUCUUUUAGGGUUUUUGUUAUUAUUAUGUGCAUUAAUGGUCAAAGACCAAUCAAGCAAACAAAGCAACAAAGUAUAUCACACAAUAUGGUCCAAGUGGACAAAGUGAAAAUUGCAUAAACAUAAACACUUAGAAUGAUAUGUACAAUGACAAAUGAUAAUAAAAGUAAAUUGCAUUAAAAGUAAAAGCUUGAAAGUAAAAGUUAAUGGUUAGUAAGUUAAUAGUUAGUUUUGUUUUUGCUUUUUUGAUUUCAAGACAUUCUUUGGAGAACACUCAACCCACUUGCCACAAGCAUGGAUCCUUGAACCAAAACAUCUUCCAAAGGAAGGAAAGAAGGCGAAGUUUCCACACAAUACCAUGGAAGAGAGGAGACUUACAAUCUCACUAACAAGAAUGCUUAUGCCUUUUGUAUAACAAAUUUAGCGCUAUGUUAAGCAAUCGUAAUUGGACUUAUGUAGAAGUCUCAACUAUUUGAGGUCGGGCUAUAAACUUUUGGUGUUAAUGCAUGUUGGAGACAUAGUAUUAAGAACUAUGCUCAUUAAACAUACCACACACAAAAAUAUGCAAAAGAUGUGGCCUAAUCUCAUCCAUACUCAUGUUAAUCUUUCAAUUAACUAGCAUUAGUACUUUGAGAUUUCAUUUGCCAAUUGAAAAUGAAUGGAAGAAGAAGGGGAAUUAGAUGAAGAGGGAAAGGGAUGAAUGAGAUCACAAAUUGGUCAAAGGAGAAUUUUUACCAAAUUAAUAUUAUUCAUUCAUUUUGGGAGAUGGAAUGUACAUUCCAUCAAUCCCCUAAAUCCAAUAAUAUUAACUUGACAAAGUCAAAUCAUCCUUGACCAAGGCCCAACAACAGAUGAGAAAACUCAAAUAAGUCAAUACAAAUGGUCAACACAAUUAAAAUGACAUUUAUUCAAUUAAAAAUAUUAAAAUAAUGCAUUAAAUUCAAAUAUGUUUUGUCAAAAUCCUAAAAUCACAUUAAAACACCAAAUAAAUGGCCAUGUGAUUUAUCAUAGGUCAAACAAGGUCAAAGGACCUUGGAUAAAAAAUUUCAUAAUUUUUGGACACUUAAAAAUAUUUUUAAACAAUUAAAAACAAAUGGAAAAUCAAUUAAUUCAUGAAAAAUAUUUGAAUUUUUUGGGUGAAAGUCCCAUAUUUUUUGGAUCUAUAUUAAAUUUAUUAUGAAUUAAUUAAAAAAUGGAAUUAAAUAGAAAUUCAGAAAAUGCUAAAAUAUGUGUACCAUCAGAUCUCCCUCAUUAAUUGAGGUGGCAGAUCUGAUGAUCCACAACACGCGUUCCACCAACACCUUAGUCAAGCGCGCUGUGACAUAAGUAAUCAAAAGGAAUGACUGAGAUUAAAACGUGGAGGUUGGAUCACAUGGUUUAGAACAAAGACACAUCAUCACCGGAGCCAGAGCUCCGGUUGUCUUCUCCGGCGAGCUUCACCGGAUUGGUCAUCAUGAACCAUCACCAAAAUUUCAAAUAGGGACAUGAUUUUAAAGAGAAAACUGUAAGAACAAAAAUAGUUCUACAAUAGAUUCCAUGAUUUUGAUGAUAACAAAGGAUGAAACCAAAAGUGGCACCCUAACGAAAAGUUUCUAAGUGUGCAGGGUUCUAAAGAAAGAAGAAAUAAACCCUCUAAAGUGCGCUGUCUAUUCCAAUAGUAUGCUCCUUAUUUUUUCUCUUCACUUUAGAGUGCGCUUUUGUAAUAAAGCGCCCUCUAAGGGGCGCUGUCUAUUCCAGUUUUUGGCGUAGUGAUAAUUGAUAUUCACUUUAAUUGUCCAUUUAAUUGAUUCAUUUGGUUUGUGAUCAUAUUGAUUAAAUUGAAAAUCCCAUUUCAAUUUAGGUGAUGAAUGUUUUGUAUGCCUAAUUUCAUUUGCCAUGAUCACAUGAUAGAUCUUCGAUCAUUUUUCAUUGAUUAAUCCAUUACCUUUUGAAUUGAUUUUAACCAUUGAAUAUGCUUACAUAUUGUUGCAUCAUUCUCAUUCAUUUGACCCUUACCUCAUGCUAACCCGUUUGUUACUUGGUGUCCACAUUUGACUUUGAGAUUCAAGAUCACCCCUAGCUAGCCAUGCUCCUAACCAAUUCAUUACCAUUCACUUGACUUGUAUUGUUUGAAGUAUCAUGUCACUUGUAUGCUUUAGGCAUGGUACAUAGUUUAAUAGUUUGUAACUUGUAUUUUAUUUUCAUUCUCUUAUGUUGUAUUGUAUGGAUCCAUCCCCCAUUGUGGGUCAAAUUUUCCCUCACUCAAUGAUCAUGUAAUAGCUUAGAUUUAUUGCUUUCUAGUUAGUUAACCAUGCAUGUUAAUAACAAAGAUAAAAUACAAAACGAUAAAUAAAGCAUUUCGAAAGAAAUAAAAGGUACUUGAUUCAACGUCAAGUUGUUUUCCAAAUAAAACUCACACCAUUGCAAUGUGAAUACUUGAUUCAACGUCAACUAUUCUCCAUCCACUCCACGAUCCAUUCUAUCAUCUCCUCUCCAUUAUCUUCUCAACCUCAUUCUAUCUCUCUCCUCCAUUCUUUCACACAAUAUUUUCAUAAUAAAUUCAAACACUUUAUCCAACGUCAAGUUCCUUUUUCAAAACCAUUUUCAUAAUAAAUUGGAAUGCAAAAUAGGGUGUACGUGCUUGUACACAACAUUCAAGUACUUGGGUUGUCGACCGUACCUAGCCUGAGGACCUAACACUUGACUUUCUCCCUUAAAACAUCUAAUGAUUCAAACAAGUUAGAUCUAGAUGCUAGGAGGGAGAAAAAGAGUAGUUAGGACUCCAUUGUCCUCUCGAUUCCCAAGUACUCUGAUUGUUGACCGUACUUAGUCAAUGGUCAGAUACUUUUGAGACAUAAGAACAUAUAAGAAUGAUUUUUAACAUAGGCCCUUUUAAGAUGAAUUUCAACUUGCACUUUCCUUGAUUCCACAUUAUUGAAUUUAUGGUUAACCUUAAUAAAGAUAGUUUUGCUUGUACUUGGGAUAUCACAUUUAGAGUCUCCAAACCCAUAUUUAUCAUUAGAGUACCUUUGUUUUGUUAGCACAUUUUCUAGACCAAGUUGACUUUUCUCAUAUUUCUUUAAGACUUGGUUCAAUUCAACAAUUUUUUAUUCAAAUAUUUCACAUUUAUUACAUGAUGAAUAUUUUACUUUGUCUAAUUUCACUUUCAUGUCAUUAGCCUUACUUUCUAGAGAUAAAAUUAUUUUCUUUUGUUUUGAACAUGUUAUAGAAAGAGUCAAACAUUAUGCAUGAUGUUGGACAUAUGACUUCGCACACAAAAGGGGGUGAAUUGUGUGGUUCAGAAAAAUAUGAUUUUGAAUUUUUUUUCAAAUUAAAAUCAUUUUAAUACUAAGCAGUGGAAAAUUAAAAUUGCAGAAUAUAAAUUAUAGAAAGUAAAGAGUUGAAGGAAGAGAAAGAACACUGAGAAUUAUAGAGAUUCAGUCAAACAAAGAAAAAGAUUUACUUCUCUCCCCAAGAAUUGAUCUUGAGAGUAUUCAUUAAACUUGAGAGCUUUUAGUAGGUUAUACUCACGAACCCUCCUUAUACAAGGAAAAAAUGAAGUUUAAGGUUGAGUUCUAAUUAAAUAAUAAACAUUUGAGUGAAACGGCAAGUCGUCCUUCCAAACGGCGGAUUGAAGCGGUUAGUCUUCAAGCCUCUAAACAAACUUUGCAAGCUUUUAACACCGAUAUGAGGUCACAAACCUUAAACCUUGGUUUUACUAUGAGUUAACCAAUAAUCUUAGAGAUUUCAAUAUUAGACUAAUCUCGAACCUUAAACAUUGGUUUUACCACGGGAUAACCAGUAACCUAAACAAGAUUUUAAUAUUGGGCUAAACUUUAACCUUAGAUUGGUUUUACCAUGGGAUAACCAAGAGCCUAUGAAAGCGUUUAUCAUAGGCUGAGCCUUUGAACCUAAACAAGGGUUUGAUCACACAAUCCUGAAACCAAAGAUUUUAUGAGUUUAGGUUAUAACAUAAACAAACAAUCUCUAAUUGGAUAAGAUGUUCAACCAAGGUAUAAACAAAAGUUCCUUAGUGAACUUACAAAUCUACCCUUCCAGGAUUACAACUUCUCACUCACAAAAAGGGCUUUCUCGAAAGGCAUUUCGGCUAAAAACUUUGUGAAAGAAAGUAAAAGAAAAGUUGAGAGAGAGAGAGAGAGAGAGAGAGAGAAGUAUGAAAUGAAACUCAGUUAUUUAUGAUUUAAAAUGAGGGAAAUGACCUCUAUUUAUAGGUUAGAGGUUGGCUAAAAAAAGAAAUCAUUUUAAAACCAUUUUAUGACCUGCCAAUUGAUUGGUAAAGUGUUCCAAUCGAUUGGUUGGCUCCAUUACAAUCGAUUAGCAAGUUAAAAAUAGAAGGAAAAAAUAUGUAGUUGUUACCAAUCAAUAAGAUGUUGUCCUAAUCGAUUAGGUCGCGUUUUUGAAAUCUCCCAAUCAAUUGGAAUAAGGUUCCGAUUUAUUGGCAAAGACAAAACUUUGCCCAGAUCUUUUUAGACAGCUUCCAACUUAUCUGGCACGACUUCAAGACAUUUUAAAAAUAUUUUCUUGAGAAAAAUCAGAUUAAAAAAUGUUUUCGUGUGUGUAUUUUAACCAUGUAUUUUUACGAAAAUGCCCUUAUGCAUUACAUAGUUUUCACUCAUACUAAUUAAGGUUGGGCUUUCUUGUACUUCGAGACUUUUUCAAAUACUUUCCUUCUUGCAAACACUUGCUUGAGUUUACUUGAGAUGAGACUUGAGUUAACUUCCAUUAGAUUUCCAUCAUCAUAUAGUCAAGUCCAACAAACUAUAUUUCCUUGGUUUGUAUCUUUAACCGCUUAGCCACUUAUGCUUGACUUGUCAUCAUCAAUUUUCAUCAUUAGACAAAGGUUGUCAUCAUCAAAAGUAAAAUAGUUGUCCUUGUUAAAACCAUAUCACCUGCAAAACAAGGUUCCAUACAUGUAAUUCAAGGAAAGCAUUAUGCAAUUCAUCAUAUGAUAAUUCAAGAUCAUAAUCUUCAUUUUCUUUAUCAUCGAAAUGAUGUGAAGUUGUUAAUGCCAUAUGAGUGCUUGUUCUUCAUCAGAAGAUGAACUUAUCUCAUUGUUUUGCCAUGCCACAUAUCCUUUUUUGGCCUUUUGGCCUUCUUGUUGUUGACUUUGAUAUUCUUUCGAAGAGUAGAGCACUCACUUCUAACAUGACAUCUUCUUCCACAUUCAAAACAAGUAACUUUUUUUGGUUAAAGUUGAUGUUUCUCUUAGACUAAUUUCCUUUGUUUUUUUCAUUCUUUUUUUUUUUUAAUUUCUUGAUUAAUGCAUCAUUUUCAUCAUAUUUGGAUUGGUAUUCUUCUUCUAAUUAAUAUCAUAUUUAGACUAUAAAGCAAGGGAUCUAAAUUUAACUUCACACCCUUCAUGCUUCAUAUCCUUUUUUGGCCUUUUGUCCUUCUUGUUGUUGACUUUGAUAUUCUUUUGAAGAGUAUAGCACUCACUUCUAACAUGACCUCUUCUUCCACAUUCAAAACAAGUAACUUUUUUUUGUUAAAGUUGAUGUUUAUCUUAGACUAAUUUCCUUUGUUUUUAAUUUUUUUUAAUUUCUUGAUUAAUGCAUCAUUUUCAUCAUAUUUGGAUUGGUAUUCUUCUUCUAAUUAAUAUCAUAUUUAGACUAUAAAGCAAGUGAUCUAAAUUUAACUUCACAUCCUUCAUGCUUCUCCAAUUUAUCAUGAGCCAACUAAUGUUAUUCCAAUCGAUCAAGUUCCAUUUCAUGUUUUUGAAAACUAAUAUAUUUUUCCUUAAGUACAUCCUAAUGAACCUCUAAGAAUAUAUGCAUGAGUUUGAGACAUUUCCAUGAAGGUUUGCAAUAAUUUAGAAUGAUAAUGGUUCAUGAAAAGACACAAUUAUGUAUUUUGUACCCGAUUUCUUAAACCAAUUAAAUGUUCACCUGAUUUAAAAUGUGCAUGAUAAUUUUCAAUUUUCAAACUGCCACUAUUAUAAAAAAACACAUUUUAUGACGAAACUUUCAUCUUAGCUAUUGAAAAACCGAUGUCAAAUGAUCUGGAACGUGCCAUUUUUUAUAACUUAAUAUUUUAUCUUGAUUUUUCCCAAAACCGACAUAACAAGUUGCUCAGGGUUUGAACUUCGUUUCCCAGCGCUUGCAAUUUUAUGUUUUAUUUAGAACUAAAAAGGUGUCUUUGUUUUUUAUAUAUUUUACGUCGGAUAUGUUCCCCCGGUUUUUAAGAUAACCGAGAUAACAACUCUCUAAAAAAAUUAUAUUCCUUCGGAUUUAAUGUUAAGUCUCAUUCACUUUUUGCACCCUAACUAGCAAACAAAACUGAAACAUUAUUCUUCUCCAACGAACAAAAUUGAAACACCAUUAUUCUUCAAGGAGGAAGGAAGCUCGAACCUCAAAAUAACGCUUUCUUUGAGUCUCUCAUCACAUUUCCGAUAUGUACAAGUUCUCCAUUAUUGUUGUUGUUGUUGUUGUUGUUUUCGUCAGUGUUAUUGUUGUUAGUAUUGUGGCCAUUGUUGAUAUUGUCGUCGUUUUUGUUAUUGUUAUUAUGGUUUUUGAGACUUAUGCAGAUCAUUUUUGUUGGUAUUAUUUUUAUUUUAUUUUCAGAAGUUGUAUGUAAUUAUAGAUCAUAGUUGGAUGAAAGCCAAUAAAUUAAGUAAAGAGUAUGAGAAUAGAGUUAUUCACUUUCUUGAAUUCUCGAAAAGAAAACCAUCCUAAUGACAUGGGAUUUUUCGGCGUCCUUGUAAAAUUUUACGAAAUAUGCAAAAACAUCCAAGUGUUGUUAUAUUAAAUCAUUUAGAUUAUGAUGGAACUAUUCAAAAUGACACGAAAUGGAUAUGACAUGGUGAAGUGACAAAAAAAAACCUUUGUCACAUACAAUUAAAGAUGAUGAAGAAUUUAUGAAUAUACUCUAUAUGAAAUGAUUCAUGAUAUUAGGAUAAAUGCUUUUAAGAAAGUUAAUAUGGUAGAUACUUUGCAAAGAGACAUGGAAGAGUCGUUGUAUCCAGGAUGCAAAAGUUUUACAAGAUUGUCAAUUAUGUUAAGACUAUUUAAUCUUAAGGCAAGAGGUUGUAACACCUUGAUUUUAUUUAAAUUAUUUUUCGUAAUUUAAUUAUGUGAUAGUUGUGGUUGUGUUGUAUUGAAUUGGUGUUUUGAUGUGUUGUGUACCCUUGGUGUGAGGUAGUUGCCUUAGAAGUUAAGAUGUUGGGGAGUGUGUGAGUAAAAGUGUAGAAACGAUGGUGUGGUGAGUAAAACUAAUUAAUCAUGUUAGUUAUUAUUUAUUCAAUUAAUUGAUAUUAUAUGAAUAUUAGUUUAAUUAUUUAAUUUGAAUGAAUUAUUAUUAUUAUUAUUAUUAUUAUUAAUAUUAGUAUUAUUAUUAAGAAAAUAGUGAUGAUAUAAUAAGUUAAUAAAAUAAUAGGAUUUAUAAUAAAAAUAUAAAAGGGGUAUUGGGAUAGAAACUCAGUACGUAAUGUAACACCCCGAUAAAAUAUGAUAAUUAUUUAAAUUAAGUUAAUAGUAUAUUUAUUAAUUUAAUUAAAUAAUUGGAUUAUUAUUGGAAUAUUAUUAUUUGGAAUUAUUAUUAUUGGAAUAAUAAGUUGGAAUAUAUAUAAAGAGUUCCAUUUGGUAAAAAAGGGUUUUUCACGUGAAAACCAGAGAAGCGACAGAAAGUGAGAAAAGGGCAAGGAGGAAGAGCAAGAGAACGAGGGUUGAAGAAGGGAAAAGCUUGAAGCUAAAGGAUUUGCCGGAUUAACUCAGGUAAGGGGGGUUUAUCGUNNNNNNNNNNNNNNNNNNNNNNNNNNNNNNNNNNNNNNNNNNNNNNNNNNNNNNNNNNNNNNNNNNNNNNNNNNNNNNNNNNNNNNNNNNNNNNNNNNNNNNNNNNNNNNNNNNNNNNNNNNNNNNNNNNNNNNNNNNNNNNNNNNNNNNNNNNNNNNNNNNNNNNNNNNNNNNNNNNNNNNNNNNNNNNNNNNNNNNNNNNNNNNNNNNNNNNNNNNNNNNNNNNNNNNNNNNNNNNNNNNNNNNNNNNNNNNNNNNNNNNNNNNNNNNNNNNNNNNNNNNNNNNNNNNNNNNNNNNNNNNNNNNNNNNNNNNNNNNNNNNNNNNNNNNNNNNNNNNNNNNNNNNNNNNNNNNNNNNNNNNNNNNNNNNNNNNNNNNNNNNNNNNNNNNNNNNNNNNNNNNNNNNNNNNNNNNNNNNNNNNNNNNNNNNNNNNNNNNNNNNNNNNNNNNNNNNNNNNNNNNNNNNNNNNNNNNNNNNNNNNNNNNNNNNNNNNNNNNNNNNNNNNNNNNNNNNNNNNNNNNNNNNNNNNNNNNNNNNNNNNNNNNNNNNNNNNNNNNNNNNNNNNNNNNNNNNNNNNNNNNNNNNNNNNNNNNNNNNNNNNNNNNNNNNNNNNNNNNNNNNNNNNNNNNNNNNNNNNNNNNNNNNNNNNNNNNNNNNNNNNNNNNNNNNNNNNNNNNNNNNNNNNNNNNNNNNNNNNNNNNNNNNNNNNNNNNNNNNNNNNNNNNNNNNNNNNNNNNNNNNNNNNNNNNNNNNNNNNNNNNNNNNNNNNNNNNNNNNNNNNNNNNNNNNNNNNNNNNNNNNNNNNNNNNNNNNNNNNNNNNNNNNNNNNNNNNNNNNNNNNNNNNNNNNNNNNNNNNNNNNNNNNNNNNNNNNNNNNNNNNNNNNNNNNNNNNNNNNNNNNNNNNNNNNNNNNNNNNNNNNNUUAUAUCAAAAUAAACAUUGCACAAUACGUAGCGGAUAGAGGUCAAAUCAAUCAUGCAAACCAUGUAAUCACAUUACAGGUAAAACUGUUCAACAACCACAAUAAACAAGGUAAAAACAUCCCCUCCGACUGUUACUCUACCAGAGCAUGACCCACUAAGGAAUAUACUGACUCCAAGCACUAGCUUCUACUCAAUCAUUGCUCGUUACCUGAAACAUAGUUGUAAGGGUGAGUUCCUCAAUCGAUAUAAUAAGCAUUAAAAAAUAUCAAUGUACAUGCUAAGUAAUUUCACACAUUUCAUCACCAAAUCAGAUCACACAUUCAGCAACGGCAAAUCAACUCAAAAUCAUAAUCAUACUCAACCCAACACAAAACACCACGUAUAUAUUGAAUACAUCCAUUCAUUAUACGCCAUACAUACAUUAUGCAAUGAGACUCGCAUGCAUGGGUACCGACUAUUCGUGACACAUAGUUCAACCUCACCGAUCAAAAUCCAGAUCGGCGUACCAAGCGUCACUAGUCCCACUCAUUUGAGACAUAGUGACUCACAUCCUAAUUCUCACCAUGGAAAUUAGCUACCACACCGCUCAUGCUACUGCAUCGCGCUAAAUCGUAGCCUGCAUCGCAAACAUCACACAAUCACAUACCAUCACUAAUUCCUCACCAUGGAAUUCUACGCACCUAAAGGCCAUAUUAUGCACCGCUAAAUCACUAGCAUGCACACCAUCAACAAUCAAAAUAGACAAUGCUCACACUCUAAGCCAUAAACAGUCCAUUCACAAUAGCAUACAUAAUAGAUUAUUCACAACAUAUGCACACCAUCAACCAUCAUCAAUACAAUUAUCACAAAAUCAUAUUAUGUCAUGCCACAUAAUCAAUCACAGUAUUAGCACACUCUACUAUACCUUACACUACUCAAAACAACGGGAAAUUGAUCCUCCCUCAAUAUAGGCGCCAUCAUCAAUUGGCACAAUAUUUAAAAAUAUCAGUUUUUCUACUUUCAAACAGUGUUAACCGUUAACCGCCUCUGGUUAACCGGUUAACGCAACAACAGAACACGCUUCCUGGCACAUUUAACAGUGUUAACCGUUAACACCCUGGGUUAUACCGGUUAACGCAAGACAGACAGCAAUUUUUCAUAUUCAUAACAGUGUUAACCGGUUAACACCCUGGGUAACCGGUGUAACGCAAACAGAAAGCUGAGCAUGACAAACUAUUUUGGUGAAUGGUGUGAAGUGUCAAGUGUGACACCCUUAAAUUGCAUAUCUACUCUGAUUUAUAUUUGUUGUUUUAAUUAUUAUUGGGGUAUUUUAGAAGGGUGUUACACGUAACAUUUGGGAGAAAAGGGCAGAAGUAGAGAAAGAGAGAAGAAUAGACUAGGGCUCAAGGGGAGAUUCACCAUUGUUGAAGGUUAAAGAAGCUAUUGCUAGGAACUCUAAGGUAAGGAUCGGGUUCUGAUGAUCCAAGGGUUAACAUGAUAAUGGUGGGUAGAUUAUGCCAAGUAGAUUUUGUGUUUUCUUCUCUAUGUUGAAUUGUGUGAAUGAUGAAAUGUUAUGAUUAAACCCAUGAAAUUUGAUUGGGUUGUGAGAAUGAUGAAAAUGUUGCAGUUAAACCCACGAAAUUUGAUUGAAUUGUGUGGAUGCUGAAAAUGUUGCUGUUAAACCCAUGAAAUUUGAUUGAAUUGUGUGAAUUAUGAAAAUGUUGUUGUUAAACCCAUGAAAUUUGAUUGGAUUGUGUGAUGUAAAAGCUGUGUGAAUUGAUAUGGUUUUGGGUCAGAGUUGGAAUGAUGAAUUGUUGAAAUUGUUGUUGUUGGAAGCUUUGGGAUACAUAUGAAUUGAUGAGAACGAAUAGUUUUUUAUGAUAAUCUUCGAACCUGUAACUGGUUACCGCACUUGAAAAAUAGGUUUAUGGGCUAUUUUCGAGCCCGUAACCGGUUACCGAUUUGAGCGUAACCGGUUAGCACUAUUACGCGAAAAAUUGAGAAAUUGAAAAUGAUGUAACUUGAGCUCCGUAACUUCGUUUGGCGCGCGGUUCGAAGCGUCAGAAAGAUGAGAGUGUGUACUGCCAUUUAAUAUUGGUUGGUGUAAGCCCUAGAGGCCAAUACUUUUGGUACUUGUAUUGAAUUAAUAAAAGGCUUUUUCUUUAUUACGUUUGUUUAAUAAAGUCCCUAGAAUAGUUAGUCCGUUUAAUGGAUCAAGUAUGACUUGAUCAUGAGAUCACAUUAAACAUAAGGACACUAUUCUUAAAGUAUCCAUAGUCGAGCUUUAUUGUGAAGUGGGAUAACAUUAAAGCAUUAAGACUAUUUUUGGCGUCAUUAUCUUGAUAAAAUGCCAAAAUCACUUACAGCCGCAUGGGUAGCCUUAACCAUAUUUCGUAUUCUACUUAAGUAACACCAUAUUACGAGUGUUCUAACAUUCCCUUAGUGGCACCGACCAUUACGGUGUUUUCUAGUGUACUGUCUAUCUCAUCAUAAUCGUCCUUUGUGUGUAACCCUGUAGGUUUUCGGGCGAGCGUUGGUCAUCUAUAUUAAAUCAUGGUAUUUAACAUAAUAAAUUAGUGAGGCGGUAUCCUAGGCACCAUACUGCUCCAGGUGUCGCAUCCUGCGAAAAAUGCACCGGCGAGGAACUCGAAAUAUAAACCACCAAUCCCAGAGCCGCCACUCCGCGUUAUAUUUAUCCCAACGAAGGGAAAGGAACGCUCAAAGAAUCCUGGAAUAGGUCAUGGUCUCCGGCGACCAGGAGAGAAAAGGUUGCGGGAGUCGGUUAGCGCAAGGGGAAGGUAUUUAGCCCCCUCCGUCCUACACGAUAUCCAGGGAUCCACGUUCUAAGUAAAAGGAAAAGGUUGCUAAACAUCCACACACACACUGGGGAACGCAGGUGGGGUUAAGAGGACGGGGCUCGAUACAGGCGUCGGCGAGCCUUAUGCCUACAUAUUUGUCUGGACCAAGAAUCAGAGCCUCUGUAGUUGCGGCCUUACGCCGAGCCACCCACAAAACAAUUCAAAACCAAACAAAGGUGGAAACAUGGAGCCGGACAACCACUGGAUGGAAUUCACGUCGGCAUCCGAACCAAAACACACUCACGGGAAACGUGGAGCGCGCUGACAGCCAGCUUACUUGGACUUACUGUCGGCUCCGAGCAAACAGCUAUGCUGAGGAUAACAAGUAACACACGCAAAAAAAAGAAAAAGGUUGCCCGGAGUGGUCAUCGCGCGACACCUGCCUACAUACCUGUCUGGAAAAGGAUCAGGGCGAUGUAGUUCUGGAAGGGACUAAUGCUAACCCAGAAACCGGGGAAAGAUACCACUAGGGAGCUGAGACUCGAGGCUAAUGAUUGUAUGCAUGCGUUAACCCUAGUUCGGUUUUCUAUCGCUACUCUGCUAAGCAAACUUAACCUAACCAGGAAGAAGUAGCAAAAGCAUACCAAUGAUAUAUCAUCAAUGGAACAGUAUUGUAUCUAAGAUCAGCAUGUCAAUCGAUAUAGCAUAAACGGCACUAUGCCAAACAGAGGGGCUCAAUCAUCAGUUGACUGCUAACGCAAGUCGUCUGUAACCGGCUGUGUUUGCUUCUUAACUUGGCCAUGGUAACGAGGCUAAGGUGAAGUCAGAUGAGGGAUGAGGAGGAUCAACUCCCGUCAGAUUCCCNNNNNNNNNNNNNNNNNNNNNNNNNNNNNNNNNNNNNNNNNNNNNNNNNNNNNNNNNNNNNNNNNNNNNNNNNNNNNNNNNNNNNNNNNNNNNNNNNNNNCCCCCCCUCUUCAUCUUCAUCCCUAUUCUUUCCCAUUCCUUUCAUUGACCAAUGAAGUCUCAAUAUCCUAAGGUUAAUUGGUUCAUCAAUGACUUUGUGUCAGAUGAACCAAUACAAGUAUGGAUGGGAUAGGUCCAUCCCUUUUGAUCCUUUCUUUUAGUGUGUGGUAUGUUUUAGGAGUUUGGUUCAUUAUACCAAAUCUCUAACAUGCAUUAACACCUCAAUUUUUAUUGUCUGACCUCAGAUAGUUGUGACUUCUACAUAAGUCCAAUUACGAUUGCUUAACAUAUAGCUAAAUUUGACCCUAAAGGCAUAGUAUUCUAGUAAGUGAGAUUGUAAGACUCUCAUCUUUCAUGGUAUUGUGUGGAAACUUGGCCUUUUUUCCUUCCUAUGGAAUUUUUCUUGGUUCAAGGAUUCAUGCUUGUGAAUAGAUGGUUAAGUGUUCUCCAAAGAAUGACUUAAUCAAUUGAAAAGCAAAACCCUACUAACAUCCAAUUAACUUUGACUAACUCUUAUUAAUAUUAUUUUACUUUCAAGUAAUUUACUUUAUGCAAUUUAAUUUCUAGUCAUUUAUCAUCCAUUGCCAAUUACAUUUUAUUUAACUUGUUUAUGUUUAUGUCAUUUUCACUUUGCUCAUUUGAGCCAUAAAUUGUGAUUGUAUAUAUUUUGUUUGUGUAUUUUGAUUGUGUUUGUGGUCUUAGGACCUUAAAAUACUUAAUAAACAACAAAAACCCUAAAAAAUGUUUGGUGGACUGUUGAUCUUGAUCUGAACUUUUUGACUUAGAACUAGGCAACAUUCCCUGUGCAAAAAGGACUUGGCCAAUGCCAACAUUCUUAGAUCAAGUUAUUGAGAAUUGAGCCUUCAUCUGAUACAAGUAUUGACAUUCAUUUGAGCUUAUUUGCUACAUGAUCUUGAUGUAAACUGUUAUUUUGAUCUUGUGUCUAAUACUUUAUUCAGAGUGGAUCAAAGAGUAUUUCAUCUGAUACAUGAGAAGACCAAGAAGACUGUUAGUUGUGGGAUUUGCUUGCUUGGAUGUGGUCAUCUUUAUUUGAUGCCUUGAUCUUCGUAUUGCUAAAUUCUUGUUGAUUAUUUGCUUGAUUCAAAGUCCAAAGAGAAAGUGGGUUUUCUAUACGACAUUCUUAUAUGUUGGAUUGCAUCCCAUUGGUCAGAUCUUUUCAACUCUUAACUUUUAAUUUUAUGCUUAGGAUUAGUCUUUUCAUCUCCUCCCAUUUCUUAAAUUUCAAAAUCUCUCCCCCUUUUCAAAAACUUUCUUUACUUGUGAUUUCAAACUUAGACCUUAUUUUAAAUAGAAACUUUAGCCUUAUGCCAAUGAAUUUUCAAACUCUUUCUUAAAUCAAACCUAUAAAUAAAUCUAAUCAUAUUGACUUAAAAUUCCAAAAGACAAAAAUAACUAACACUCAUUCAAAUUUUUGGGCCCUUUGUGCCUCCUUCCACUUAAAAGCAACUCACCCAUUUCGAAAUUGAUACCACAAACUACGAGGUUUUGAUCCCUCAUUUUUAUGUUGGUACGUACGCACAAGUCCGAAGGUUUUGUCAAGCACAAAAAUAUAAUCAUUGAAUUCUCUCCUCAUCCUCACACUCUAUUUUUCUCAAACAUCUUUAUACCAAAAACACAUACACACAUAAAAAAGGGCUUCCCUAGGAGUACCUAGGACAAACUUUGGGUGUUAACAACGCUUCCCUCUGUGUAACCAACCCCCUUACUUGUAAUCUCUGGUAUUUUAUUAGUUUUGAUUUGAAAACUUCUUAUCUUUGGGUUUUGUUUGUACUUUUCCCUUUUCCUUUGGAAACAAUAAAAGCACGGUGGCGAAUCUGGUUUUAUUGACAUUGAACUUAUCCAUAGUUUGAUGGUCACGAAUUUACCGCUACAGCUACCACCAAUGAUGAAUGAAAACAAUGAGAAAACAAACAAAAUAUUGAUAGACUUGUGUGAAGUUAAUUUUAGCAAACACUUGAUGUGCACACUACACCAAGACCUAAUUUCACUAGAAUUGAUAGUGUAGAAUUUUCCUUAGUUACAACCAAAGUGGUUGCAACAAUUUAUCAAAUAACUUUAAUACAUAACAAUUAAGCGAGAUGAAGUUACCAAUUAGUUUCACACAAGAUUCAAUUUAUACAAAAAUUAAAGAGUUAGAGAAAGAGAGAACAACACCAAAUUUGUUUAGGCAGUUCCCCUUUCAUCCUUGCUUAGGGUACGUCUACCCCCAAUUUUAAAACUAGAAUUGAGAUAUUUAUUAUCAAUUUGCAAAGUUUAUACAAGAGAAGAAAUAAUCACAACCAAGCAAACCUAAGUGUUGUUGUAGAUCAUAUUCACUUCUCUCCCAUUAAUUCGAGUUGAACCAAGAGCUUCAAACGUUCCGAACAAACCUCUGAUUGUAGAUACCUUAUUGUAAGAACUCCAGGUUCUCAAAAACUCUAGCUCGACUGAUUUCGAUCGGAUAUGUGUGAAACCUCCGAUUGUAGCUAAAUUAUUGCAAGAACUGCAAGUUCUCCAAAACUCUAGCUCGGCUGAUUUCAAUCACGACACAUUUGAACCCAAACCUUUCGUCAUAAUCCUCUGAUUAUCGUUACUCGUUCGAAUGAACCCACCGUUCUUCAAACAUUUCACUCGGCUGAAUCUAUGAAGCAAAGAUUUGUGCAAAAAAACCCAAAUCUUGGAGGACAAAACCCUAAGAUUUUAUUCAAGAAAAACCCACUAAAAACCUCUACCCAAACUAAGAUACACAAUCCUAUUUGGACGUUAUCACCACAACAAUGCACUAUGAUCAACAAAAAUUGUUAUGUGUAGUUGUUGAAACAUGCAAUUGAAGAAUGAAGAUGAAAAGAAACUUCAGUGUAUAUCUUUCACUUUUCUUGUUGUUUGUUGAAAAAGAGACUCUAGAAUAUAUAUAUAUAUAUAUAUAUAUAUAUAUAUAUAUAUAUAUAUAUAUAUAUAUAUAUAUAUAUAUAUAUAUAUAUAUAUAUAUAUAUGAUGCAUGGACCAAGUCAAAAAAACACAGCAGAAUUUUUUGCAAAAUACACAGUAGAAAAAUGAGUAAAAACCGUGACCACUCGACCUGUUCACACUGGGCACUCAACAUGUUCAGACCCGCAACAAAACAACUCAAAUAAAACAAGCGAAGAGUUGACUCAAAUAGGAGAUGAGUCGACUCAUCUUGUUUUUCCAUAAAUUAGUCAACCCAUGACUCAACCCAUUUAGACCCGCAGCAAACAUGAUUUAAAUAAAAUAGGUUAUGAGUCGACGCAACAGGUGGAUGAGUCUACUCAUUUUGUUUUUCCAAGAAUGAGUCGACCUGUGAAUCGACAUGAUCAGACCUGUGAGUUAUGCAGAAUAUGAUAUGCAUGAAUGAUUCAACCGCUCCAAGGCAUGAGUCGACUCAGUUAUUAAAUGUCAAAAAUGAGUUUUUAAGAUGUAUUUUGGUCAAUCCAAACCAUUCUCUUAUGAACCUAAGGUACCAACAAUGAUCAAGUACAUUAUUGACAUAUAUGAGAUGCUCCUAUAUGCAUAGACACAUUAAAUUUAUACUUUGAGCAUGUUAGAGAAUGGAUGCACUCUAUGAUAUGAUGACACCGUCCAAAGUACACAAUAUGAGAUACAAAGAGGUUUGACAUCAUUAAAACAAGUACUAAGAACCUUUGCCCUCACAGAAAGUUCAUCAAGCACCAAUCCACAUAUCAUGAACAAGAUGGACACAAAUCUAUCCAAUUGAUCAAAGGGAAAAGAGGGGGAUGAAGAAGAAAGGGGACAAGAGAGGUCACACAAAAAUUGAAUCACAAAUUUGAUCAAGUCAUCAUCAAAAUCAAUCAUCCAUUUUGGUGGAUUAGGGUUUUCACCCCAUCAACACCCAAGAUCCAUUAAGUUUGAUGAGACUUGAAGUCAAAGUCAUCUGAUUCAAGGCCGACAUAAAUCCACAAGGUCAAACAAAUUUAGAAUGCAAUUAAAUGAAAUAAAAAAUGCAUUAAAGGUAUUUUUAAAUGAUUUUAAAAUGGAAAUAAAAUGGAAAAUCCACAAAAUCCUUCAAAACACCAAAUAAAUGGUCAAGAAAAUUAUGGAAGGUUGGAAAUAAAAUGAGAAACAUAUAAUAAAAUUUUCAGAAUUUUAAAAUGCAGAAAAGUAUUUUUAUACCAAUUAAAAUAAAGGAGAAAAGAGAAAAGGGAAAAUUCAUGAAAAAUAGAAAAUUAAUGAAAUAAAAUGUGGAAAAAUAAAAAUCAGAUGAAAAAAAUAAAAGAGAAUUUUAGAAAUUAUUUUGGGAUUUUUUGGAUAAAAAAUGAAAUUACUACGAAUUUUUAAAGAAAAAGAAAUUUAAAAUAAUAAAAGAAAAAGAAUUAAAAUCAGAAAAAACCAGGAGUGUUGGAUCACGGCUCAUUAAUUGACGUGGCAGAUCCAACACUCCAAAUGAUGAGAGACACGAUGGAGCACGCUGCAAUCAUAAUACAGGAUCCAAUUUGAAUUUAACCAAUCAAAACAUUUCAAAAUACCAACGUUGGAUUGCAUCCCAUUGGAGAUGUUCAAAAAGCUUGAAAUCAACAUUCCGUUCUUGGAGGCACUUGAGCAAAUGCCCUCUUAUGCUAAAUUCAUGAAAGACAUUAUUUCAAAAAAGAGGAGCACUGACACUGACUCUAUUGUACUAACCGAAACUUGCAGUGCUAUUUUGCAGGGUAUGAAGAUCCCGAUAAAGAAAAAAGAUCAAGGCUCGGUGACUAUCCCUUGCACUAACGGGGAUAGAUCUUUCAAGAAGGCCCUUAUAGACUUGGGGGCAAGUGUGAGCCUCAUGCCUUUAUCCAUUUACAAGAGGUUGGGGAUUGGAAAAGUACAGGAUACCCGAAUGACACUUCAAUUUGCUGACCACUCUGUGAAGAGACCUUAUGGAGUGGUGGAAGACGUUCUUGUGAAGAUUGAUAAGUUUGUGUUUCCGGUAGACUUUGUGAUCUUAGAACUCUUAUAUACGACAUUCUUAUAUGUUGGAUUGCAUCCCAUUGGUCAGAUCUUUUCAACUCUUAACUUUUAAUUUUAUGCUUAGGAUUAGUCUCUUCAUCUCCUCCCAUUUCUUAAAUUUCAAAAUCUCUCCCCCUUUUCAAAAACUUUCUUUACUUGUGAUUUCAAACUUAGACCUUAUUUUAAAUAGAAACUUUGGCCUUAUGCCAAUGAAUUUUCAAACUCUUUCUUAAAUCAAACCUAUAAAUAAAUCUAAUCAUAUUGACUUAAAAUUCCAAAAGACAAAAAUAACUAACACUCAUUCAAACUUUUGGGCCCUUUGUGCCUCCUUCUACUUAAAAGCAACUCACCCAUUUCGAAAUUGAUACCACAAACUACGAGGUUUUGAUCCCUCAUUUUUAUGUUGGUACAUACGCACAAGUCCGAAGGUUUUGUCAAGCACAAAAAUAUAAUCAUUGAAUUCUCUCCUCAUCCUCACACUCUAUUUUUCUCAAACAUCUUUAUACCAAAAACACAUACACACAUAAAAAAGGGCUCCCUAGGAGUACCUAGGACACUUUGGGUGUUAACACCUUCCCUCUGUGUAACCAACCCCCUUACUUGUAAUCUCUGGUAUUUUAUUAGUUUUGAUUUGAAAACUUCUUAUCUUUGGGUUUUGUUUGUACUUUUCCCUUUUCCUUUGGAAACAAUAAAAGCGCGGUGGCGACUCUGGUUUUAUUGACAUUGAACUUAUCCAUAGUUUGAUGGUCAUGAAUUUACCGCUACAGCUACCACCAAUGAUGAAUUAAAACAAUGAGAAAACAAACAAAAUAUUGAUAGACUUGUGUGAAGUUAAUUUUAGCAAACACUUGAUGUGUACACUACACCAAGACUUAAUUUCACUAGAAUUGAUAGUGUAGAAUUUUCCUUAGUUACAACCAAAGUGGUUGCAACAAUUUAUCAAAUAACUUUAAUACAUAACAAUUAAGCGAGAUGAAGUUACCAAUUAGUUUCACACAAGAUUCAAUUUAUACAGAAACUAAAGAGUUAGAGAAAGAGAGAACAACACCAAAUUUGUUUAGGCAGUUCCCCUUUCAUCCUUGCUUAGGGUACGUCUACCCCCAAUUUUAAAACUAGAAUUGAGAUAUUUAUUAUCAAUUUGCAAAGUUUAUACAAGAGAAGAAAUAAUCACAACCAAGCAAACCUAAGUGUUGUUGUAGAUCAUAUUCACUUCUCUCCCAUUAAUUCAAGUUGAACCAAGAGCUUCAAACGUUCCGAACAAACCUCUGAUUGUAGCUACCUUAUUGUAAGAACUCCAGGUUCUCAAAAACUCUAGCUCGACUUAUUUCGAUCGGAUAUAUGUGAAACCUCCGAUUGUAGCUAAAUUAUUGCAAGAACUGCAAGUUCUCCAAAACUCUAGCUCGGCUGAUUUCAAUCGCGACACAUUUGAACCCAAACCUUUCUUCAUAAUCCUCCGAUUAUCGUUACUCGUUCGAAUGAACCCAUCGUUCUUCAAACCUUUCACUCGGCUGAAUCUAUGAAGCAAACUUUUGUGCAAAAAAACCCAAAUCUUGGAGGACAAAACCCUAACAUUUUAUUCAAGAAAAACCCACUAAAAACCUCUACCCAAACCAAGAUACACAAUCCUAUUUGGACGUUAUCACCACAACAAUGCACUAUGAUCAACAAAAAUUGUUAUGUGUAGUUGUUGAAACAUGAUAUAAUGCAUGGACCAAGUCAAAAAAACACAGCAGAAUUUUUUGCAAAAUACACAGUAGAAAAAUGAGUAAAAACCGCGACCACUCGACCUGUUCACACUGGGCACUCAACAUGUUCAGACCCGCAACAAAACAACUCAAAUAAAACAAGCGAAGAGUUGACUCAAAUAAGAGAUGAGUCGACUCAUCUUGUUUUUCCAUAAAUUAGUCAACCCAUGACUCAACCUAUUUAGACCCGCAGCAAACAUGAUUUAAAUAAAAUAGGUUCUGAGUCGACGCAACAGGUGGAUGAGUCUACUCAUUUUGUUUUUCCAAGAAUGAGUCGACCUGUGAAUCGACAUGAUCAGACCUGUGAGUUAUACAGAAUAUGAUAUGCAUGAAUGAUUCAACCGCUCCAAGGCAUGAGUCGACUCAGUUAUUAAAUGUCAAAAAUGAGUUUUUAAGAUGUAUUUUGGUCAAUCCAAACCAUUCUCUUAUGAACCUAAGGUACAAACAAUGAUCAAGUACAUUAUUGACAUAUAUGAGAUGCUCCUAUAUGCAUAGACACAUUAAAUUUAUACUUUGAGCAUGUUAGAGAAUGGAUGCACUCUAUGAUAUGAUGACACAGUCCAAAGUACACAAUAUGAGAUACAAAGAGGUUUGACAUCAUUAAAACAAGUACUAAGAACCUUUGCCCUCAGAGAAAGUUCAUCAAGCACCAAUCCACAUAUCAUGAACAAGAUGGACACAAAUCUAUCCAAUUGAUCAAAGGGAAAAGAAGGGGAUGAAGAAGAAAGGGGACAAGAGAGGUCACACAAAAAUUGAAUCACAAAUUUGAUCAAGUCAUCAUCAAAAUCAAUCAUCCAUUUUGGUGGAUUAGGGUUUUCACCCCAUCAACACCCAAGAUCCAUUAAGGUUGAUGAGACUUGAAGUCAAAGUCAUCUGAUUCAAGGCCGCACAUAAAUCCACAAGGUCAAACAAAUUUAGAAUGCAAUAAAUGAAAUAAAAAAUGCAUUAAAAGGUAUUUUUAAAUGAUUUUAAAAUGGAAAUAAAAAUGGAAAAUCCACAAAAUCCUUCAAAACACCAAAUAAAUGGUCAAGAAAAUUAUGGAAGGUUGGAAAUAAAAUGAGAAACAUAUAAUAAAAUUUUCAGAAUUUUAAAAUGCAGAAAAGUAUUUUUAAACCAAUUAAAAUAAAGGAGAAAAGAGAAAAGAGAAAAUUCAUGAAAAAUAGAAAAUUAAUGAAAUAAAAUGUGGAAAAAUAAAAAUCAGAUGAAAAAAAAUAAAAGAGAAUUUUAGAAAUUAUUUUGGGAUUUUUUGGAUAAAAAAUGAAAUUACUACGAAUUUUUAAAGAAAAAGAAAUUUAAAAUAAUAAAAGAAAAAGAAUUAAAAUUAGAAAAAACCAGGAGUGUUGGAUCACGGCUCAUUAAUUGACGUGGCAGAUCCAACACUCCAAAUGAUGAGAGACACGAUGGAGCACGCUGCAAUCAUAAUACAGGAUCCAAUUUGAAUUUAACCAAUCAAAACAUUUCAAAAUACCAACGUGUCUGGUUCAAACUCAAACCACCUGAGAAAUACUCCGAUCAUCUUCUCCGGUGAGCUCUCACCGGAGUUUCAUCGUUUGGUAACUUCAAGACACGAGACCACCACCAUUGUGAUCCCCUUCUCAUCCUGAAUUCAACCUUAUGCGUCAAAAUCAUUUAUGUGAAAUGAGCAAAGGGGAUUUCAAAGAAGUUUCAGAAACAAGCAAGCCACGAAAAAUUAAAGUAAAUGAUGAACACAAUCGAUCAACACCAAAUAAGUUAGGGGAAAGUAUCAGAGAGUGAAGGAUUACAUUGUGGUAACUUGUUUGAUUUCAAAUGAUGCUCAGAACUACCUUGUCCAGAUGGCUACCAGAAGUUGAUGAAGCUCAAUCUGGUUUAAGCAAUUCAGAAGGUCUCAAAGCUUGGGAAUUGUUACAAAAGUUUCAGAGGAUGCCGAUGGAGCUAAUGGAAUAAAGAAAAUGGAUUGGAACAGGCUAAAACUCAAAACACGAUAGUUGAAUUUUCUGGAAAAAACUUCAAGUUGUAGCGGGGGUUUCUUGGCUCUCCAAAGCUUGCAAAUGAAGGCAAUAACUUCCUCUAUUCAUAGGGAAUGUGAUUGGAUCCAAAUGCGUGUGGAAUGAUGUUGAACUCGUGUAAAAUGAAUUUGAUCCAAGUGUGUGAAAAGUGUGACUUAAAACUCCUCAAAACUCAGCCAAAUGAUGCAUUUUAAGUGUCAAUUAACUUUUGGAGGUUUGUUAAAACAUGUUUAGGACCAAAACACUUGCUAUUUUAGCUUCGAAUUGAGUUUAGUCAUGAUCAAAUUUUGGGCAAUGGUGAUUUCUUCAGUUUCAAGUCACCAUGUUCAACUCAAUGGGGCAUCCUACUCAAGAGGCUUUUUGAUCCCAUUCUUUUUGAAAUGUGUUAAAAUCAUGACCAAGAUUAAAAUGAGCCAAGAAAGGUUGCAUUUGGAUGUUUGAGCAUAAAUUUAUGGUAUGUUGAAGUUGGCAUAAAAUAUUGGUUCCAUAACUUAAAAAAAUUUGAGUGCUUCAUGGCAGAAAGUGACAUAUAAUGUCGCAAUGAAUUCCAUGGCCUUCCAAGCAUAAUUUGACCUUGGUCCUUGAAGAAAACUUAUAGAGGGUAUAACCAAUGGCAUUGUGCAAAAAUAAUAAGUUUCAUAUGUUGAAAAAUGAAGUUAUGAUCUUUGAAAGUUGGCAAAAAGUCACUUGAAAAUAUGUCAAAUUUUCAGUAAGUCCACAAAUGACCUAUAAUGUAUUCAACUUUUGAUGAUCCUCCAAGCAUAAUUUGCUCUUGUAAUGUAAAGAGAAGUUGUAGAGGGUGUUGAUAAGAUUCAUAUGAAAAAAGGGUAAUUAAAAAAUGUUGAUAAUUAAAGGAGUUAUGAUCCUUGGGAUUUUGACUUCGACUUGUUGACUUUUAGGUCAAACCUCUUGAAACAAGCGUGUGUAUUUGGACUUUCCUUGCAUUCCAAAGCACAUGGGUGAUCAUAUGAACUCAAGAUAAGGUGUCCUUGAUUGUAUCUUGAUCAGAUUGCUCAAAGCUUGAAGUUACUUAUUGAAGAAGGCAUGGAAAAAAUACAUGAACCUUAGGCUUUUUUUUAGAAGUAAGCCACCAAACUUUGAGAUGCUUUUGACUUGAGGAGCCCUACCUUGCACAAUAAACUUAAGGGAAACAAGACGUAUUUUUGGUAUUUUGAUUAGUGGUUAGAUAAGAAAUGAACAUAUAAACACAAAGUGUAGGUGUUUAAUUGGCUGCAUUAUAUGGUAAAACACUAGCUGGAUUUUAAUGUCUUGACUGAUGUCAUGACAUGGUGUGUAUGUGUGACUGCACUGUAGGUUAGAAUAUUUAACUGUGCUCUGAUGUCUUGACUGAUGUCAUGACACACUUGAGUAGUUACUGCAGGAUUAGCUAAUACAGGAUUUAUUGAAUGUCAAACUGGAUGUUGUGACAUUCAUCCCUGUCAGCAGAUACUAAGGAAUAUAACAGCUGGUGUUCUGUUAGAACUUAGUAUUUAUUUCCAGUCUGGUUAUCAAGGAAAUACCAGACCUGGCAUAAGGCUACUGACUGAAUGGCAACUGGAUGUUAUGACAUUCAUCAUUGACAGCAUAUACUGAACAAUAGACAAGUGGUGUUCUGCUAUACUUCAGCAUGUUUCUUAGUCUGUUCUUCAAGAGGAUAACAGAACUGACUUAAGGCAAAUGUGUAAAUGUCAAUUGGACACUUUGAAUUUAUUAAUGUAAGUUGUUACUGUAGUAUGGUCAUUUUGGUCAUAUUACAGGUCAGCAAAAUUGUACAGUCUGUUUUCUGGAAAAACAGACUUAGCAUAUGAUCCUUGAUGUCAAGCUGAAUGUCUGUGACAUUCAUUCCUGAAGCAUAUGCUUCAUAUUGGAGGUUGUUCAGUGUUCUGUUUCAGCUUUUUCUCAGGCUAUUCUCAGGAUUCAACAGCUGAGAGAAAAUCCAGGAAAUCAACAACCAAGCUACAUUUAAUGAACUAACAAUAGCCUAUUUUUAGUAACCUAGAUGUGGAAUUAGGGAACUCGCGGACUUAAAUUCAGGAGAAUACAAGUGCAAGCCCAAGUACUGCAAUAUAAGGAAGUCGUUCCUUCAUUCAGAACUGGGGAUUUUGAGGCGUGAAGAUUUAGUGUGUCCAUCAGUACUUCAUGUUGUAUUUUUGUGAGUCUUGUAUUAGAAUAUCUUGUAAGCCAGGCCAUUAUCACGUAGAUGAUUGCUUUGGUAUAGGGUGUUCAUUGAGUUGUAAGUGUUGUGUCGCUCAAAGCUUUUAAGCGUGAGUGUUCUGUGUAUCUUGAUUAAGCUGUUAAGCACAAUCAAGAGUUUUUGAAGUGUGACUUCAAAUUGUCUUUAAUAUUGAUUAAAGUAAGUAAUCACUGAGGUGAUUGAGGGUGAGUGAGUAGGAACUCUGAUCUUAGAGUAGACUUGAAAUUGCAUUGGGUAGGGAUUAAGUGAAGAGCUGUAACGGUGAGUUUUAGCUUUGAAUUAAUACUACUGAUAGUGGAUUUCCUCCCUGGCUUGGUAGCCCCCAGAUGUAGGUCAUGUUGGACUGAACUGGGUAAACAAUUACUUGUGUUAUUUACUGCACUUACUUUUAAGUUCUUGUCUGUGCAGAAUUGGAUGUCAUAACAACCCGUGUGACAUCUAAAGUCUGGUAACUAGAAUUUCACAAAGGUAAACAAAGAGGUUCUUGGUGAUCCCUGCAAGAAGCAAACCCAAAGAUGGAUAGGGGAAGGGCCAAGAUGUGACCUUGUUUAUAUGCAAAAGAUGCAAAUGAGAUGUGGGAUCUUAGGGUUAAAAAUUAGGGUAUGACACCGACAAGUAAUUUGUCAUAUGCAACAUUCAUUCUCAGUGGAUCCAUGACUUUGGGAACCAUGUCCAGAACCCCGAAGUUGAUGGUUACGUAGUAAUGAUUUGUGAGAUAUAUUUCUCGUGGUUUCGACACGAAAAAUCUCACUCAUAAUAGAUUCCCAUGAAGGAAUUGACACCCGACAAGUAAUUUGUUGUAAGCGACAAUUAUUCUUGGCAGAUUCAUGACUCUGGGAACCUUUGAAACCCCUAUAUCAUACUUGGUGAGAACCUUAUAUGAACAAAGCAAACAGAUUCAUUUGUACCUCGGGCCUAUGAACCCCUGUACCUAAAAUAAAAAAAUACACAUAACAUGGCAUUAGAUUUUUUGCAUAUCAAAAACAAAAUUUUUUAUGUAUCUGCAUUCAUCCAUAAGCAUGCAUUUAAAAAAAUAAACCCAAACUCAUGUCAUCUUUUUCCCAUCCUCAGAACUCGUCCUCAUCAAGUUAAUUCCCCGGCAUCACUACGGAACCAGAACCAAGGUCCAAAGAAAUAAGGGUGAUAUGAGAGAAUAAAUCAAUGAACUCAAGGGGGCGAUGGAAAAGAUGACUGAAAUGUUAUAGGAAUUAGCUACCAAGAAGAUCCUCAAAUGCUUACUGUGAUCUUUGAAAUCACAGGCCCUUCGUUUGAGCCACAACAUCCAAGGGUCAACACUACAUAGCUAGAGUUUGGAUUUCAACCUAACUACUCCUCAUCCUUCGCUGAUGCUUCGGGAUUAGGGUCAUCCACUUACCAUGUAGUGCAACUACCAACAAUUACUAAAAUGCAACCACCCCAUAUGGUUCAUACCAUGGCUCCAGGACCCUUUGAUGAUCCUCGUUAUGCUUACCACGAUGUUGGUUCCUACAAUGAUGAUCCAGAAGAUAAGGAUGAGCUAAUUAAGGUCAAAGAAGAGUAUCAAACCCUAGAGAAGAAGGUAAAGGCCAUGAAUGGCAAUGAUAUUUGUUGGUUCUAAGUGUUGGCAGCAAUUUUGGUAAAACAAAGAGUGUUCACAAGAUGUUACUUAUGAUGUCUUAAUAUAAGAUAUCUUGUACCUGCUGGAGGUUUAAAAUAUUAUUAUGCAUGAUUGUUUCAGGAUGUCAUACCCGAUGUCAUGACAUCUGAUAUAAUGUACCUGCUGGAUAUUUAAAAAGGAAUUAUGCAGGAUUGUUCCAGGAUGUCUGAUCGGCCACCAUUUACACUCAGUUUUCAUCAUCUAUCCAGCAUGGAAUCUUCAUGAAUCGGUAACUUUUGCGUUUUAUUUUAGUGAUUUCUUCAGUUUAUUGCAUUGUAUGAAUUUCUGUUUGUUUUAUGUUUCAUUAGUAGUUUUUCGCAUUUUUAUCGCAUUUUAUGCGUUUCUGUGUAGAAUGUUGGUUUCCAGGUUUGAUUAAAAGUUCGAAAGUGUGUACCGGAAGAAGGGAGGUUAGAGACUGAAGGAAAAGCGAAAAACAGACAAAACAGGGGGGCUGACACGGGUGCUCGUGUCACCUGACACGGCCCGUGUCAGCAUGUGCAUAACAGCCAGCAAAAACCCAGUAAAAAGUGGGCUAACACGGGUGCCCGUGUCACCUGACACGGCCCGUGUCAGUAGGGCGUGUCUUGUGAACCUACAGAGGAGCCAACACGGGCAGCAGUGUCACCUGACACGGCCCGUGUUGGCCAUUUCGCUCAAAAUUCUGAUUUUUCUAAUUUUUACUCCUGUGGACAUCCGGAGGGCAUUUUGGGAAUUUGGCAUUAUUUUUAGGUGUUUGGAAACUAUUUAGUUGGAUUGGAAGCACUGAAAAAAGGACUUUUGGAUCGUGAAAAGAAAAGAUACGAAAAGAGGAAGCAACCUUGCAAGGUUUGGAGAAGAGAAGAGAUCUUCAAGAUCGGAAGAAAUUGAAGAUCAACUUUCAUCAACAAUAACUUGUAAUGUCUUUAAUUUGUAAUCUUUUGUCUUUGAAUAUUAUGAGAGGCUAAACCCCACAAUGCUAGGGGGUGUCCUUUAAUUGCUACUGUAUGAAUAUUUUAUCCAUUUUCUUAUAAUCAGUGAUGUUUUCGUAAUUCAAAUUAUUAUACAACGUGUUUAAUGCUUAAUUUUAUCGAACAAAUGAAAUUCUGAUUUCUGGUUAAGGUUUAGGUCGGACAAACUGCCUUAUCACUGUUGUAUAAUAAAACUCGUGUUUAAUCACUUAGGAAUGAGGAUCAAACUGUGGUUACCGUAAAUUCUUGAUAAAAUAAAUAUUUCUUAACAGCAAUUUGAUUGACUAAGGAAUUAGGAGUGAAAUUGCCUGUUAAAUGGUUUUGGCAAAUUAGAGAAAACUACUCUGGAGAAACUGUUUUGAAUUAUAAUAGCAUCGAUGUUAUAUGAUAUGGAAAAAGUGGAAUACACAGCAAUUCAUACACCUGGCCUUAGCAUUAUUUCUUAUAUCGACUACAAGAGUUUUAUGCGCUUUAUAUUUUUAUUCCUUAUAAAUUGUGAAAAAAAAACAUCCAACCCCAUAUGAACUUUUGUUUAAUUGAAUUAUUAUAAAAAUUGAUACUUUCUACGCAAUCCUCGAGACCGAUACUCGGGAUAACCCCUUUUUUAUUACUACAUUGAUGCAAAUAGUACACUUGCUAUUUUACCGAUCAAGUUUUUGGCGCCGUUGUCGGGGACUGCCAAAAGUAUAAGUUGAAAAAUAAUUCAAUUGGAAUUUUGUUGCUCUGCAGCUAAAUUUUUUUAUUUUUAUUGUUAAUCUAAUAAUUGUCUAAUCUGUGUAUGCGAGGUAAGGCCUCAGCUGAAUUUUAUUUUUGACGCAGAACCCGAAAGAUUAUUGCGUGCAAGACGACGAAAAGCUAGGCUGGAACUUUCAAAAUCAGCACCUAUUAUUUCUGAGUCCGAAAAAAAAGAAGUUAUUUCUGUUCAUUCAGAAGACUCGAAAGUUGUUUCUGAACCAAUGGCUGAACCACAGGGUGAAGCCCCACCACCUCCUGCAGAGAGACUUUUGGGUGACUAUGGGGGUGCAAAUGCUCCUACUGCAAGGUUAACAAUUGUGAACCAACCAAUAAAUGUUGAUCACUUUCAGCUGCACCCAUCAAUGAUUCGUCAACUCGAGAGAAGACCGUUCUCCAGAAAAAUCAAUGAAGAUGCCAACAAGCAUUUACAAAGAUUUCUGACCAUGACGACAUCGUUGAAAAUUGAGGGACACUCAGAAGAAGCAAAAAAGUUGGUUAUGUUCCCAUUUACACUGUCGGAAGAUGUCGAAGAGUGGUUUUACUCUUUACCCGCGGGAAGCAUAACAGCUUGGCAACAAAUGGAGACAACAUUUCUGAAUGAGUACUUCCCUGCUUCUGUGUAUAUCCGUAAGAGAUAUGAUAUUGUUAACUUUAAACAGAAGGAAGGAGAGUCACUCGGAGACGCUUACAAGCGGUUCAAGCGGCUGUUGGUUGCCUGUCCUACUCAUAACAUGGAUGCAACUGAACAUAUGCAAAAUUUUGUGAAUGGACUAAGAAUGAAGACUAAGAAACUCAUUGACACAACUGCCGGUGGCUCAACAAACUUUACAACAGCCACUGGAAUAAAUAAAAUCAUUGAAGCCAUUGCAGCAAAUGAACAUCUGGAACUCUAUGACCGCAGUGUAAGUCAACCUGAAGGUAUCAUUGAUCUUAAAUUGGAAAAUCAAGUUGUGAAGAUGGAAGAUCAAAUAACAGCUGAAGUAGAGAGAAGGCUCAAGAAAAUGACUCUCGACACGCAAACUGUGGCACAAGUGCAACCGGUCCAACCUAUUCAAGCUGUUAGUUGUGAAAUUUGUGGAGGUCCGCACUUCGCCAUGCAUUGUGUGGCAACUGCUCAACAGGUUGAAGAAAUCAAUUUUCUAAAGCAGAAUAAUCCGUACUCCAAUACAUAUAAUCCUGGAUGGAAAAAUCAUCCAAAUUUUUCCAGGAAAGACCAACAAGGAAAUGCUCAGAAGAAAGUGCCCACCCAGUAUCAAAGUCAACCACAACAGCAAUACCGUCCACAACAACAGCAACCUUACCAGCAGCAGCAGUUUCAUCCAUCUCAACAACAAUUCCAACAACAGGUUCCCAGAAAAGCAGAUUGGGAAAUUGCCAUUGAAAAAAUGGCAGCUCAAAGUUCUCAAUUUCAAGAGGAGACUAAAAGUAAUCUGAGAAACACUGGUGCUUCAAUAAAAAAUCUGGAAGUGCAAAUGAGUCAGAUUGCUCAACAACUUGCGGGUUCGCAAACACCAGGCGCAUUACCGAGUGCUACAGUUACGAAUCCAAGAGAGCAUAAUAAUGUGAGUGUUGUUACCACAAGGAGUGGUAAGGCAAAAGAAGUCCCCGAAAAAGAUGAUGAAUAAGGAGACCAAUUGCUUGAAGUUGAUUUGGAGAUAAAAGAGAAUGAAGUUGUUAGUGAGAAGGUGACAGUACCUGAACCGGUAGCUAAAGAAAAAGUUAGUGAAUCAAAGCCGGUUGUCAAACUCCCGUUCCCGACAAGAAAUAAGAAGAAGGAGAAACAUGAGAAGAACUUUGAAAAGUUCUUGGAGAUGUUCAAAAAGCUUGAAAUCAACAUUCCGUUCUUGGAGGCACUUGAGCAAAUGCCCUCUUAUGCUAAAUUCAUGGAAAGACAUUAUUUCAAAAAGAGGAGCACUGACACUGACUCUAUUUGUACUAACCGAAACUUGCAGUGCUAUUUGCAGGGUAUGCAGUAUCCCGAUAAAGAAAAAGAUCAAGGCUCGGUGACUAUCCCUUGCACUAACGGGGAUAGAUCUUUUCAAGAAGCCCUAUAGACUUGGGGGCAAGUGUGAGCCUCAUGUCCUUUAUCAUUUACAAGAGGUUGGGAUGGAAAAGUACAGGAUACCCGAAUGACACUUCCAUUUGCUGACCACUCUGUGAAGAGACCUUAUGGAGUGUGGAAGACGUUCUGUGAGAUUGAUAAGUUUAUCUUUCCGGUAGACUUGUGAUCUUAGAAAUGCCAGAAGAUGAAGAGAUACCAUCAUUCUGGUAGACCAUUUUUGGAACCAGAGGGUGUUGAUAGAUAUAGAAGAAGGCACCAUGACUCUAAAGUUUUAUGACGAAGAGUUAAAAUGAUGUGCGCAACACCAUGAAAUACAAAGAUAUGUGGCACAGGCCAACACAUAUGAGGUUAUUGAUCAAAUGGUUCUGCAAGAAAAUCACCUAGGGGAACAAAAAUUACCCUUGGAGAGAGUCCUAAGUCUCUCAAUUUUUGAAGACACUCAAGAAGUGGGUGACGAGGAGAUGGAAGUGGUAACUCUGAUGGCAACACAACAGCCCGUUAAGGGAUCCCGAUCACUCAGAUGGGAAAACUUAAGGGAACCUCAAGUUGAAGAAAAGAAAGAUGAGACCAAGAAAGUGGCUGAGCUGAAACAAUUACCUGACAAUCUCAAGUAUGUUUUUCUAGAUCCCGAAAAGAAAUGCCCGGCUAUUAUAAGCUCUCAUUUAGAUGUUUCUCAAGAAGACAAGCUUGUCAAGGUAUUGAAGAAACACAAAAGUGCCAUGGGAUGGGCAAUAGAAGACCUGAAGGGAAUUAGCCCUACGAUGUGCAUGCAUAAAAUUCUCAUGGAUGAUGGUCACAAACCGGUGGUGCAACCACAAAGAAGACUAAAUCCCGUGAUGAAGGAAGUGGUCAGGAAAGAAGUUGUUAAACUGUUAGACGUCGGGUUGAUUUAUCCCAUUUCCGACAGCUCUUGGGUGAGCCCGGUGCAUGUGGUCCCGAAGAAAGGGGGAACUACAGUUAUAAAGAAUGAAAAAAAUGAGUUACUUCCUACUAGGACGGUCACGGGUUGGCAUGUGUGCAUCAACUACAGGAGGUUGAAUUUGGCAACCAGAAGGAUCAUUUUCCUCUACCAUUCAUUGAUCAGAUGUUGGAAAGGUUGGCAGGUCAUGAGUACUAUUGUUUCCUUGAUGGAUACUCUGGAUACAACCAGAUAGUUGUUGCACCGAAAGAUCAAGAGAAUACAACUUUUAUGUGCCCUAUGGUAUCUUCGCAUACAGAAGAAUGCCAUUCGGGUUAUGUAAUGCUCCAGCCACCUUCCAAAGAUGCAUGACCUCCAUUUUUGCGGACAUGCUUGAAAAGCAUAUGGAGGUCUUCAUGGAUGAGCUCCAGCCACCUUCCAAAGAUGCAUGACCUCCAUUUUUGCGGACAUGCUUGAAAAGCAUAUGGAGGUCUUCAUGGAUGACUUUUCGGUAUUUGGUUUUUCUUUUGAUAAUUGUUUAACUAACCUUUUCCUUGUUUUAGAAAGAUGCCAACAGACCAAUCUGAUCCUCAAUUGGGAGAAAUGUCACUUCAUGGUUCGAGAAGGAAUAGUCUUAGGUCACAAAAUCUCUCACAAAGGGAUAGAAGUGGACCAAGCCAAGAUUGAGGUAAUCACAAAGCUGCCACCUCCUAUGAAUGAAAAAGGUAUAAGAAGCUUCUUAGGACAUGCGGGUUUCUACCGCAGGUUCAUCAGAGAUUUCUCAAAGAUAGCUAAACCUUUAACUACCCUGUUGGUUAAGGACAAGGCUUUCAUUUUUGAUAAAGACUGUGCCAUUACUUUUGAAAUAAUAAAAAAUAAAUUGGUGAUAACACCUAUUGUCAUUGCUCCUGACUGGUCUCUACCCUUUGAGAUUACGUGUGAUGCGAGUGACAUCGCAGUGGGAGCAGUGCUUGGGCAACGAAGGGAUAAGCUCCUGCAUGUUAUCUAUUAUGUGAGUCAUGUGUUGAACCCUGCGCAGAUAAAUUAUGCAACUACCAAAAAAGAGUUGUUAGCUGUAGUUUAUGCCUUUGACAAGUUCAGGCAAUAUCUAUUGGGUUCUAGAGUCAUUGUUUAUACUAACCAUGCUGCUUUGAAGUAUUUGUUUGCUAAACAGGACUCGAAACCAAGACUGUUGCGGUGGAUCCUGCUCCUCCAAGAGUUUGAUGUGGAGAUCCGGGACAAAAGAGGGUGCGAAAACACUAUAGCAGAUCACCUUUCCCGGAUGUCCCCAAUAGAAGAGAAUGAGGAAAAGCGCCCAAUAAAGGAUGAGUUUGCUGAUGAACACAUCCUUGUUGUUAUUGGAAUGCCUUGGUUCGCAGACUAUGCAGACUAUCUAGUGGGCGGGGUGAUCCCGAAUGAUUUUGACUCUAACCGUAAGAAAAAGUUUGUUCAUGAUUGCAGGUUCUAUCUGUGGGACGACCCCCUUUUUGUACAAGAAGGGAAUAGACGGUUUGGUCCGAAGAUGUGUUCCAGAAGAAGAACAGAGGGAUGUGUUGAAAGCCUGUCAUGAUUCGGACUAUGGUGGACACUUUAGUGGUGAUAGAACUGUUGCUAAAGUCCUCCAAUCAGGUUUAUACUGGCCGACAUUAUUCAAAGAUGCCCAAUAAAUGAUCAAAGAGUGCGAUAAAUGCCAAAGGAUGGGCAAUAUUUCGAAAAGAAAUCAGAUGCCACAAAAUCCCAUGCUGGAAGUUGAACUCUUUGAUGUGUGGGGUAUUGACUUUAUAGGUCCGUUUCCACCGUCAUUUGGAAAGAACUACAUUUUGGUGGCGGUGGAUUAUGUAUCCAAGUGGGUGGAAGCAGUCGCGCUACCUACAAAUGAUGCAAAAGUGGUGGUCAAGUUUUUGAAAGAAAGCUCUUAUAUUUAGUGAUGAAGGAACUCACUUCUUAAAUCACUAAUGGAGAAGCUAAUCUUGAAUGAAACACCGGAUAGCCACUCCAUACCACCCGCAAACAAGUGGUCAAGUUGAAGUGUCGAAUCGGCAGCUGAAACAAAUCCUAGAAAAGACGGUUAAUGCUUCUCGCAAGGAUUGGGCGAGUAAGCUUGAUGAUGCACUGUGGGCAUACCUUACUGCUUUCAAAACACCGAUUGGUAUGUCCCCAUAUCAAUUGGUAUAUGGUAAAGCCUGUCAUCUACCUUUGGAGCUGGAGCACAAAGCCUUGUGGGCUUUCAAAUUCCUUAACUUGGAUCUUGAGAAAGCAUGAGAAUCCUGAAUCCUUCAACUCCACGAGUUGGAAGAAUUCUGAAACCUGGCAUAUGAAAAUGCGAAGAUCUACAAAGAUCAAACGAAGAAAUGGCAUGACAAAAGAAUCCAAAGGAAAGAGUUUUGAGAAGGACAAAGGGUACUACUAUUCAAUUCAAGAAUGAAGUUGUUCUCUGGAAAAUUGAGAUCGAAAUGGUCAGGUCCGUUUGUGGUGCACAAAGUGUAUCCUCAUGGAGCAGUUGAAAUGAAAAACCCUUCCAAUGGAGAUAUUUUUAAAGUGAGUGGCCAGAGAUUAAAGCCGUACAACGUGGGGCAAGCUGUGGGCCAAAUUGAUGUUGUUUAUCUUGUCUGAUAAGUUGCGCAACCGUCGAGCCAAGCGACAUUAAACGAAGCGCUGCGUGGGAGGCAACCCACGUUUUUGUAUCUAAUCAUUUUCUUUGUUUGGUAGUGUGUUUUCUACUUGCAGGUGUAAAUAGUAUUUCAUAGAGGAGAUAAAGGUAGUGAUCGCAGCGAAUCUCUAAAAAUUCGAAAGCUAGAGCCUUGCACAGAACAAGAAAAAGAAAUCAAGAAAAAUGGGAAAACAGGGGCCUGACACGGGCACCCGUGUCAGGAAGAGGAAUUUGGAGUUGGAAAAAUGGAUUUCUAGGGGCCUGACACGACCGCCCGUGUCAGGUGACAUGGCCCGUGUCAGCCCUGAACCAAAAAAGCGGUUUUAAGCGCUUCUGGGAAUGAUACGGCCCGUGUUAUGAGGGCGUGUUGCGCUGACACGGCCGCCCGUGUCAACUGACACGCCCGUGUAAACUCGCGCAGUAGUGAUUUUUUUUUAAAAAAAAGAGUUGUUGGGCAUCUUUCACUAUGAUUUUUUUUACCGUUGGAGGAGUGUCCCACCUCCGAAAAUCACCCUAUAAAUACACUCAAUCACCAUUUUUUCCUCAUUUCACACAUUACCUUCAUACUUCUUCAGCUCCACCUUCUUUCUCUCAAAUACGACAUAAUUCCGUCAUAAGUUUCACUCCGGAGAUACCUUUUUUCACCACUAAUCUCGGUCAAUUCUCCACCCAUCUUCUCAAAAAGUUCACCGCUCCCUACCCUCGGCACUCCUACGAUAAUAUUUUUCACUUAAUCUCUCCUUCCAAAUUCUUGUGUCUUUUUACUGUGUGCAGGUACAAUAUGUCUCGACGUGGCGAAAAAACCAAAAAUGUGGGAGAAUCAUCUCGUCCCAAACAAAGAGCAAGGAGAACCCCGAACGAGGUAUAUGUGUAAGGAAAAGGUAUGUGGUUCAUAUAAAAAGGAAACUCACCCCUACGAGGUAUAUGUGUAAUGGCACACUGCAAGAACUGGGAUUGCAAGCGGAAGUACAUCGCAUGUUCCACACCCUAGGGAUGCUGGAAUUUAUGCAGCUGGAAGCGCCUACAUUUGCGCGCAUCACGUUGGAAUUUCUGAGCACCAUCAAUUUUAAGCUGAAGAACAGGUGGAACGGCAUAAGAAAAAAAUAUUACGGUACGUUGCACUUUCGUCUAUUCAAUAUUGAUUUGGAACUGAUUGUGGAAUAGUUAUGGAGGAUCUUAAAACUCCCAAUCGUAGGCCCUGGAGCGGUGCCCGAUACAUUUGUCCCGACGGAAUUUUGGACCGCCAUACAGGUAAUAAUAAAUAUGUGUCCAAAGGCGCAAAGGCAUCGGGUAUCCAUAACCCAUGUUUCAGGUAUGCACAAAAGGCACUGGCAUAUACAAUUUUUUGUCACGAAGACAGCACAGGUGUGGCCACACAAAGGGAGUUGUUCUUCCUAUACAACAUGGCAUCCUAGGCUCCGAUCAAUGUAGCGGCCUUUGCAGCCGACUACUUAGGGAGAGUUGGUCGCACUACUUCAGGCGACAUUUCUGUUGGCGGCAUGAUUACUCAGAUUGUCGACCACUUCGGAUUUGGUGCUACUCUAGUUGACUUCCCCCAGGUGCCAGGUAAAAGCAAACUGGACAUGGCAGCCUUGAUCCAGCAAGACAUGAUCACGGUAAAACAAGACUACUACUUUAUUUUGUGCCAAAAAGUACAUGUUCUUGAUUUACCUGCUUACGAGUUUAUCAGUAUCACUAACAGAGCCAACUGGCUCUAUGACUGUCCCGAAUCGGAAGAAGGGGAUGAAGAUUUGUUUGACUCUUUUACUGCAGAUGAAUCGAUGGAUGGUGCACCGAGCACUGAGGAACCUUUUUUCCAACAACCGCCGAAACCAACUCAAGCCUCUGGAUCCUACUCCAUGUUAUCAGACUAAUGGGGAUGGAUCCAGGAUGAGAUUGGCCACCUUCGCACAGAGCAAUCCAGGCAAGGUGAAGAGCUCACCAGGUUUGGAGCUGAACAACGCCGUCAAGGGACGGUUUUGGACGAGAUGAACGCAAUGAUGCAACGUAUGAUGUUGCAUUAUCCAUACCCGCCACCACCUCCUCAGUAAUCGCUGUAAGUGCUCCUCAUAUCUUAACUUUAAACAUUGCGGACAAUGUUUGGUUCAGGUGUAGGGAGGUUUUUAAUUGAAUUGUUUUAAAUUUUAUUUUUUAUUGUGUCUAUGUGUUAUUUUGUUCGUCGUUGUGUGGUUGUUUUUAUUUUUGUAAGUUGCAGAUGAAAGUAGAUGAUGCUGGAGAAAUGAGAGACUAGUGGACAGUGAGUAAAAGACGCGAUCCCGAACUUUCUCCCGAGGCAACAUGGAAGGUGACACAGCUGAGAAACAAAAGGUUGGACGCAACUUGGAAAUCCAGACCGAAAAAGGAGAAGGUAAGCCCAAUCUGAUAAAGAAGUUGUCUAUCAUAAAGAAUGUUUGAAGUCUGCAAGCUUACCCAACAUGGUGAGAUUUUAACUAAACCAAACACAAAAAGAGUGCAUUCAGGUAUGACUCUAUCUCUCUAAUUUUGCGUAAGUUCUACUGAUAUAGCACAAUACAAAAACACACACUGAGGCACGUUGUUUGUUUUCCACCUUUGAGCCUUUCUAGCCACCCUUAAUGUUGUUUUCAUCCGUUGUUAACCCCUUUGAGCCUGUAACCUUUUGUUUGUGUAAACCAUCAUGUUAACCCUUAGCCAUACACUCCUUACCCUAGCUCGGCAUGACUAUGUAAUUUAAAACUCGUGCAAAAAGAUAAGUUUGGGGUAUGCAUCUGUAAAUUGAAAAUGCUGUUGAAAAAUGGAAAGUGCAAGGAAAAGAAAAAAAAAAGAGAAAAAGUGUGUAGAAACAUCCGCUUCUACUGAAAAAAAGUAAAAGAAAUGAAAAAAUAAGCAUUUGCCUUAGAAAUAGACUCAUGCAUUAAAAUGAAGUUGAGUGGAAAAAGAGUAAAGAUUUGACGACACCCCAAAAAUAAAAAUUUUACACAAAGAAAAACAAAAACAUGAAUGCCGAGUUGUAAAACCUUUUGUAAUCCAUUUUGUUGUCUACUCUCCCACCGUACCUAAGCCCCAUUACAACCCUGAAGACCUCUUAAAGUGUGUGAAUUGUGUUUGUGCAGAAAAAACAUGAAUGCCGAGUUGUAAAACCUUUUGUAAUCCAUUUUGUUGUCUACUCUCCCACCGUACCUAAGCCCCAUUACAACCCUGAAGACCUCUUAAAGUGUGUGAAUUGUGUUUGUGCAGUUGAUGUAGAAUCUAUUCAAAAGUAAGCGUUGAUAUUGCAUACCUUGAUUUAUUGAGUGCUAAACACUUUAACCUUGAGAGAUUUAGUGAGUAGUGUGAAGAAGCUUGUAGGUAAAAGAACUCUCUGAAAUGAUAAGGCAGUGGAAAAUAUCGAAUGGGUGAACCUGAAACUUAACCGGGAAGGAGAAAACCAAGUUGUGAAUAACAUCAGUUGUGUUGAGGAAAGAAUAUAAUCCAUGGUUGACCUCCGCUUUGUCUCUUGCAUCACUUGAGGACAAGCAAUAAGAUAAGUUUGGGGUUGUAUUCGACCACCAUUUACACUCAGUUUUCAUCAUCUAUCCAACAUGGAAUCUUCAUGAAUCGGUAACUUUUGCAUUUUAUUUUAGUGAUUUCUUCAGUUUAUUGCAUUGUAUGAAUUUCCGUUUGUUUUAUGUUUCAUUAGUAGUUUUUCGCAUUUUUGUCGCAUUUUAUGUGUUUCUGUGUAGAAUGUUGGUUUCCAGGUUUGAUUAAAAGUCCGAAAGUGUGUACCGGAAGAAGGGAGGUUAGAGACUAAAGGAAAAGCGAAAAACGGACAAAACAGGGGGGCUGACACGAGUGCCCGUGUCACCUGAUACAGCCCGUGUCAGCAUGUGCAGAACAGCCAGUAAAAACCCAGUAAAACAGUGGGCUGACACGGGUGCCCAUGUCACCUGACACGGGCCGUGUCAGCAGGGCGUGUCUUGUGAACCUACAGAGGAGCCAACACGGGCAGCAGUGUCACCUGACACGGCCCGUGUUGGCCAUUUCGCUCAAAAUUCUGAUUUUUCUAAUUUUUACUCCUAUGGACAUCCGGAGGGCAUUUUGGGCAUUCGGAAUUAUUUUUAGUUGUUUGGAAACUAUUUAGUUGGAUUGGAAGCACUAAAAAAAGGACUUUUGGAUCGUGAAAAGAAAAGAUACGAAAAGAGGAAGCAACCUUGCAAGGUGUGGAGAAGAGAAAAGAUCUUCAAGAUCGGAAGAAAUUGAAGAUCAACUUUCAUCAACAACAACUUGUAAUGUCUUUAAUUUGUAAUCUUUUGUCUUUGAAUAUUAUGAGAGGCUAAACCCCCCAAUGCUAGGGGGUGUCCCUGAAUUGCUAUUGUAUGAAUAUUUUAUCCAUGUUCUUAUAAUCAGUGAUGUUUUCGUAAUUCAAAUUAUUAUACAACGUGCUUAAUGCUUAAUUUUAUCGGACAAAUGAAAUUCUGAUUUCUGGUUAAGGUUUAGGUCGGACAAACCGCCUUAUCACUGUUGUAUAAUAAAACCCGCGUUUAAUAACUUAGGAAUGAGGAUCAAACUGUGGUUACCAUAAAUUCUUGAUAAAAUAAAUAUUUCUUAACAACAAUUUGAUUGACUAAGGAAUUAGGAGUGAAAUUGCUUGUUAAAUGGUUUUGGCUAAGGAAUUAGAGAAAACUACUCUGGAGAAACUGUUUUGAAUUAUAAUAGCAUCGAUGUUAUAUGAUAUGGAAAAAGUGGAAUACACAGCAAUUCAUACACCUGGCCUUAGCAUUAUUUCUUAUAUCGACUAAAAGAGUUUUAUACGCUUUAUAUUUUUAUUCCUUAUAAAUUGUGAAAACAAACAUCCAACCCCAUAUGAACUUUUGUUUAAUUGAAUUAUUAUAAAAAUUGAUACUUUCUACGCAGUCCUCGAGACCGAUACUCGGGAUAACCCUCUUUUUAUUACUACAUUGAUGCAAAUAGUACACUUGCUAUUUUACCGAUCAAUGUCAGACCCGAUGUCAUGACAUAUGUACAUAGAACAUUCAGUCUGAAUGUUAUGUGUUAUGUGAUCGCGCUUUUAAUGGCAGUCUAUGUUUGAUUGAUGAGUUAAUUGCAAAUGCAACCAAUCUAUGAUUACAACGUGAUUUAACUUAUUUUCCAAAUAGAUCUAACCAACUGUCAUAAGAAGAUUUGAAUGGAAAAUAGUUUUAGGGUUUUAUGAUGUCCAAGCCCAUCUGAAUGCUUCUAUAAAAAGGACAUGGAAAACCUGAUUUGAUACACAAGAAAUACAGAGCGAAAUAUUGAGAGAGAAUAAGGGUUUUAGUCUUGUGUGGUCGUGUGACUUGUAAGCCAUUUAAUUCAUCCAUAGAUGAUUGAAUGGGUCUGAUUUUUGAGUUGUAGUUUGUCACUCUAAGCUUUUAAGCAUGAGUGUGUGUCUACUUGAUUGAAGCUGCUAAGUAAAAUCAAGUGUGUGUCUUUGAAGAGUGUCUUCUUUUCAUAAGUAAUUCUUGUUUAAUAUCACUGGUGUGAUUGAGGGGGAGUGUGGGAUCUCAUAUCUAAGAGUUCUUAGGUAGAAGUCAUACGGGUAGAGAUUAGGUGAAAAAGACUGUAACUUGUGUAGUUUACUGAGAGUCUUUGAACUGAUUCUAUUUAGUGGAUUUCCUUCCUGGCUUGAUAGCCCCCACACGUAGGUGAGUUGCACCGAACUGGGUUAACAAUUGCUUGUGUCUCUUGCUUUACUAUUCUUUAUCUUUAUCAUGUUUGUAUUAUUCAGAUAUUAGUGUCGUGACAUUACCUUCAACAUCUCAUAUCUGAUACUAGAAUUUCAAUAUUUUUGGUGCAACAGCCAUGGACAUGUGUUUGGUUUCAGAUUUAAUCAUACCAGCUAAGUUUAAAACACUUGAUUUUGAGAAAUACAAGAACCAUACUUUUCAGAGGAGCCAUUUGGUAAUGUAUUACCUGAAAAUUUUCGCCCAUACUAGGAAUGAUAAGCUACUCAUUCAUUGUUUCCCUGACAAUUUGAGCGGAACUUCACUAAAAUGGUAUAUGGGCUUGGAGAAAAGUCAUAUUCACAGUUGGUAGGAUUUGGAUGAUGUUUUUAUUCGACAAUACAAAUACAACCUUGACAUGGUGCCAAAUCGUAGGCAGCUGUAAAGCAUGAGAAUGAAAGAAAAUAAAUCCUUAAAGGAAUAUGCUCAAUGCUGGAGAGAACUGGCUGCCCAAGUGGAGCCUCUUUUGUAUGAAAAGGAAAUGAUUGGAAUAUUUGUGGAUACUUUACGUGAUCCCUACUUUUACAGGCUAGUAAGUAGUAGAGCCUCCAGAUUUAUCGAUUUGGUUGCAGUCAGAGAUCAGAUAGAAAAAUGGCUAAAUGAUGGUAAGAUUCUUAGCAACCCUAGGGAACCUAACGCUCCAAAGAAGUUCUCUAGAAAUUUCCAAAAGAAAAAAGAAGGAGAGACCAAUGAUGUUUAUGCUGACAAAGGAAGGUCUGGCCAGAGAAGGCCUCAAUAGCCUUUGGUAUACCCACAAGCAAUGUGAAGCUGAUGAGUUCUUAAAAUUGAUUAAGAGAAGUGACUACAAAGUAAUGGAUCAACUCCACCAAACUCCUUCAAAAAUCUUUAUCUUAUCACUGUUGCUGAACUCGGAAGCUCAUAUGGAGGCUUUGAUGAAGAUGUUUACGCAAGUGCAUGUAGCACAAAGCACCACAGUGGAUCAAUUCAAUGGAGUUGUAUCUAAUAUUGCAGCAUGUCAUUACCUGAGUUUCAAUGAUAAAGAACUCCCUAAGGAGGGAAGAGAUCACAACCGAGCGUUGUAUAUCUCCAUGAAGUGUCUGGACGAUGUGCUUGCAUGAGUCUUGGUGUCCAUAAGCUCAUCAGUAAACGUAAUGCCAAAGUUUACGUUGGUAAAAAUCUAUUGUAAAGAGACAAUGAUUAAACCUAGUGCGAUGUUGGUCAAAGCAUUUCAUAAAUCAAGAAGAAUUGUAGCUGGAGAAAUGGACAUGCCCAUCCUGAUAGGCCCACAUAUUUUCCAAAUAACCUUCCAAGUUAUGGACAUUAAUCCUGCAUACAAUUGCCUAUUAGGGAGACCUUGGAUCCAUGGUGCAGGAGCAAUCACUUAUACUCUUCAUUAGAAGAUGAAGUUUGUAGCCAAAGGAAAAUUAAUCAUAAUAUCUGGAGAAGAUGAUUUGUUGAUCAGUCAUCUUUCAACGUUCCAGUACAUAGAGGCUGGCGAAGAAGCAUUGAAAACUUCUUUCCAAGCUCUUGAAAUUGCAAAUUUUAUGUUUUUGGAGAAGAAGGAUUGAGACACGAAGAUGAGCUCGUCAUUUGCAUCGUUGAAGAAUGCUAAGAAAACGCUUGAGAAGGGAAACCCUUAAAGUUGGGGUAAACUGAUCAACAUCCAAGAGAAAAUAUAUCACUUUAGAGUAGGGUACGAGCCUCCUAUGGAGAGAGACACCAGAUGUUCUGCACAGACCAUUGCUCGAAGUUUCCAAGAUGUGUUCCUAGCGUCGACUUCAUUCAUGGCAAUCCAACAUACUAUUUGACUUAACACUUCCUCACACAUAAACAUAGAAUUAAAUCUAAUGAAGUGGUCUUCUACACCAUCCUCAACAAUCGCGCAACAACGUGAUUAUUCCUCGGUCUCAACCUGAUGAUAUCCCGCACAUAGGUUCAUAUCAUGGAAAUGAAUAAAUAGAGUGGCAAGAAUACAUUUUACAUAUUAUAAGGUAUAAUACACAACAAAAGAUAGUGCAAUUAAUGACACAUAAUCGAUAACAUAUCAAAGGAGCCUAACCAAUUGAAGCGACUUUACUGCAAUAAUGCUGCUUUUAAACGUUCAAAGAACCAUGAUUUUCAUGUUUAUAGGGUGUAAAACGAAGAAGACAAUGGCAAUUUCAAAUUUUAGGAUUUCCUGAAAGGCCUUCUUUUUAUAUUCAUAUUUUAAAUAUGAGUUAUAUUUUAAGUAGGGGUAGAUUGUUCAUUUACAUGAGUUAAAUAUCCAAAUGGAUUAAAGUUUAAAUGGAAAAUGGAAAAAUAUCACUUCACAUAAGUUUUUUUUAUGUAUAGGUUCAACGAGGAACAAUGAAAUCUUCAAAAGUUAUGGAGAGAACCUAAACUUUUUUUUAUAGAGAGAUUUUUAAAAAAUAGCCCAAAUGAUAGAGGGGAGAAACAAAUAUUAGCCCAAUAAAAUAAGUUCUAAACAUAGUGAAUAAGAGUACAAACUCAAAUAAAUUAUAACAAUACAAUAAAGUUGAAUGUUUUUUAAAUAUAAGGGAGGUGAGUUAUUAUUAUUUAUUUUUUAAUUUUUAAAAUUUUUACUCUCACCCAAAAAUAUGUCAUUUUGGCAAAAUAAAAAAUACAUAAAAUAUUAAUCCAUCGAUUUAAAAAAUUUAUUGAUUUACUAGUCUGACCGAUAAACCAAUCGGUCAUACCGAUUUUCAUCGUGGCAAUUCUAAUUAUAGUCUUAUUAUAUCCUUACUGAACCUCCAUACCCUACAAUUUCAACCAACUUAACUGACCGACCCAAGUCAUGUUCUAAAAUAUUAUUGUAAAAUUAACACUCCAACAUAGUGAAAGAAUAAUGAAUAAUAUAUCGUAAGAAUUUAAAUUUUACUUAUUUCGUCAUCUUUUAUAUGAGAAUUGAUAUAUAAAAAAUAUUCAAAUUUAUAUGUAGUUGAAUUUUUAUAACAUAUUUAAAUAUUUAAAAAAGUGAACUUUUAAUAAUAUUUAUAAAAUAAAAUGUUUGACCAAAGUUAAUCCUAAAUUAUAAUUAACUUUAGAAUUACCAUUAUGAAAUAAUUAUGACUAAGGAAGAGAAAAAUUAUAAAAGAGAAUAUAUUAUUUUUAUAAAAUUAUUACUAAAUAUUUUGGUUUUUUUAUAAAAAUAACCCACUUUUUCAAGGAAAUUCCCAAAAUACCCCCGAUUUCAAAAAAAAUUCUCAAACUACCCCACUUUUAGAAGGAGUCGCCAAUUGAAUUGGAGACUCCUCUUAAAACUUGAAUGGAGACGUCAAUUAGAUUGGCUAGGGCAGGUGCCCUAGCCAAUCCAAUUGGCGCCCCUGUGUAGGUUUUAAGAGGAGUCACCAGAAUUGGAGACUCCUCUUAAAACUUGAAUGGAGACGUCAAUUAGAUUGGCUAGGGCAGGUGCCCUAGCCAAUCCAAUUGGCGCCCCUGUGUAGGUUUUAAGAGGAGUCACCGAUUCAAUUGGAGACUCCUCCCAAAAUGCAAUUUUUGUGUUAUAUGGUAUAAGUGAUAGAUAAAUUUGAUAUAAGACCACUUGAUAUUAAUAAAAUAUGCCGUUUACACAAAGAAACCUAAUGGUGAUGACUGGGAUCACCUAACCGACUUUCGGUCCCACAUCCUCUAGCUACCCUAACCCGUGGCCCUAACCCACGUUGACGAUUCGGUACCGGUGUUUGAUCAUCUGAGGGGCCAUGAGCGUCACUACCAACUACAGGAGAAGGUUUGUUGAGGUAUUAAGACAAUUCGGCAUAGUCUUCAGUAUGCAUCGAUGGUGUACCACCGUAGUUGAGCUCAUGACCCAUGCCAGAGAAGUUGGGAUGUGGUUGACUCAUUGAUGGGCGACCGGGACGGUUGAAGGGAGACAUGGGUGUGAACGACGCGUCGAGGAAAGGUUGGAAAGGUUGUUGGGGUGUUUGGUAGAGAUAGGGUUGUUGGGGUGUUUGGUAGAGAUAUGGUUGUUGGAUGUUUUGGUUUUGUGAUGUUUGGGCUUCUUGGCUACGGUAGGAGGAAGGGCGGUUGGUGUUGAAUGAUCGUUGGGUGUUCUGGCUUAGGCGACUUUGGUAGGGUGAUGUGGUGGGUGCGAAGCGAUGUUGAGUCUCAGGUUGAUGGUCAAUUUGUUGUUGGUGGUAUGGGGUAUGCUCUUGGUAUUGGGGUUGGGUGUAUGAAAUGUUUUGGUUGUAUGUUUGUGUGUUGGUUGAACGGAAUGUUUGACGGACAUGGGGUUCUGUGUAUCCGGUCUGAAACUGUUGUUGGGGGUUUAAUAUUGAGGUGUCAGGUGUGUAAGUCAUCUAGCGUGGGUCGUACAAGUACAUAUCCUCGGCGAUGAACUGAAAACGAACCAAUCUGUACCAAGCCAUAUAAGUAUGACUUGGUUUUUCUUCAGUUGGCAUGACUGCAUCAGUUAACACAUGGUCAUGACGGUGCUUCCAUUUACGACACUCCGAUCUUGCGAAGCUUUGCCAUGGAUUGAAGUUCCAUUGGUCGUUAACUUUGCGCAUAUGCCAUUCUCCUAGGCUAGCUGGGGGAUCUGGGAUAUUUUGGAGCAUGCUGAACUGCAGCUUCACACGGUCACUGUUGUGCAUCUCCACAGUUGUGAACCGUAUUAUCGGUGUGCAUGCAAUCCAUACGGCCGCAUCUUCAGCGUUGACCUCAUGGUCAUGAUCCAAAUUAAGGUAUGGACGUCAAAUGAACUGAAAUGUGAAAGAAGAUAGGAUUAUAGUCAAUGUAGAAGAAGUUAACAAAACAUAACGAAAUAAUUUAGUUAUUUUCCUUACGUCUGUCGGUCGAAGGUGAUCCAACAAGUUGCGAUACUGAGUAAUACAGUGUCUUGGACAUCUGUUGUAACUCAUACCACGUGCAGACCAUCUACACCAAAAAGUCAAAAAAACC
rnacentral:lncRNA from 1 species